UGUUUGAGGGGUAAGACUGUUGAACGAAGGAUUUUGACUUCAGUCCGCCAGAGUAAUUGUCCAGACCAGGAUGUAUCUAAGCCGUCCACGUGUCACCAUCCAAUAGCUGCCAUUCCUCAAGUUUUCCUAGUCUGGCCUAUGCUGGUCAUACUACAAGUUUUUUUUUUUUAAUACAACGACGCCUCACACCACACAUGCAUGAGUACAGCUAAUAAAAUCUGAAAAAAGAAGCUGAUGGAGAGAACAAAAAUAGCUGCUUGGUUCUCCCAAAGAAACCCUUUAGAGUGUUGAUCCUCGAAGAAGGCCAUCCAGUCGGCCACACUGUUCGUCUUCUCGUAGAUAUGAGAGGCCUGGAAGGAUUGAGCUGCGAAAGAGCCACACCCUCUCACUAGUUUCUGAAUGUCGUAGAGAAGUGAUUGCCCGCUUGUCUCGUUGCGCCAACCUCGGACCAACUCGAUCACUGUGGUUGAGUACCAUUUAAGGUGAAUGCAUGCCGCACCGAGAGUAUAACUCGCAUAGGAGAUGCCCUCCGACGUAACUCUAAGCUCAGCUCCAAUGACAGAGGUAUUGAGCUCCACAAGGCCCCGACGGCCACAAGUCUGGCUUGUCUCUUCAAAGACAUACGAUAAAAUUGGUACAACAAGUUCUUUCAAGAAAAUAAUGAAAAAUGAAAGGAAUGCAUAUUCGAAUUCUAAUAUAUGAUGCAGACUCUUAUGAAUAUCCGGUGCGCAAAACAUCUUCCGUUGUCAGAUUUUUCAUUCCGUUUCUAUUUUCUGUCCUACUUUGGUGAAUUGGACAUGCAGUAUCAAGAUGGAUUAUUGAGCUUUCAUGCAAUAGAGUGCUGGGGCAUGGUUGACUACUGAUAAGAUUAUCAAUGCUAAGAAAGAUAUAAAGGUAUGGAAGUCUAAUGUUAGAAGAACUAGACGUCUAGUGUGCUGAUUAAAGACUCCUAGUGGAGAGCGUGUUGCAGAGAGAAUAUGCUCGAUGCUGAAUAACUUAAGCAUUGCUCAUCAGUGGAUGGGUGCUUGUGAAGGAUGAAGAUCUACAAGAUCGGUUCCAAAAGGGAAGUCCGGGGUGGAAAGUAUUCAUGAGUACUGAGGUGCUCAGGCUACAAGCAGAGUUAUAAGGUAAAACAUCUUGAGAUACUAGAAUCUUCGAAGAGGUAGAGCAAAUGGAGCUACUAAGGUGGGUCCACAAUGUAGGAAGGAUAUGGCAUCACAAUCUUAGGGCUCGUUUGGUCCGUGAAAAAAGGAGAAGAAAAGUGUGGUCAACGGAAAAGUAAUGAGAUGCAUCUUGUUUGGUUAGAGUUUUCAAAAGAGAGAGAUGGAAAAGUUAUAUUCCCAUUAGAAUAUGAUUNNNNNNNNNNNNNNNNNNNNACAUUUCAUGAGAGUUUUUCCUAUGAAAAAUAUGAAAAAGUUACUUUCCCAUGAGCUGGAAAUCAUUUUAUUUUUAUUUUUUUCAAAAUAGCCCUUCAGCAUUAAAGAGGCAUUAAAAAUCUAAUUUUUAUUAAAGAUAUAAUAGAAAUUAUACAUAAUUUUUCAGAAAAGUGGAUGGUCAACCAAACAUAAGCAUUUUGGAAAUCUGUCACUUUUCUAUGGUCAACCAAACAUGCUAAAAGUACUUUUUGACACAUCCUCUUUCUAAGAAUCUAUUUUUCAGAAAUUAUAUUUUUAGAAGGAAAAAUGCUUUCCGCGAACCAAACGAGCUCUUAAGGUAAAGGGUGAGGUACUCGAUUACACAUGGCAUGGUCAUUAUUCAUGAAUAUUAGAAAGGAGCCAUCUCUUGUGGGUAAUGGUUACGUUGAUGCACCGGAGUGGCAAACACCAGAAUUGAACUUAAUGGAAAUACUCUCAAGGUUAAUGGAACUAUUCUCAAGGCGAAGGAAUUGGAAAACGGAGGUAAUAAAGGCACGAUUUGACCAACGAUGCUUGCUGCCUCGGCAUAUUUUGUUACUGCACGAGGCGAAGUGCGCAUUGUAUAAAUGAUAAACAUGAGUAUGGUUGAAAUUCUUUACCAUCUUUAUAUGUCUACUACAUUUAUCUAUGUUAUUUUUACCGUCAAAUAUUUUUUGAUAUUAUUAAGUCAUUAUACAUCUAUGUAUAUAUAAAUUAUAUAGACAAAUAUAUCAAUUUAUAUAUUAUAAACGCAUAAACACAAAUAUAUACUUACAAAUAUAUGCACAAAUAUACAUAGAUACAUAGAGAGAGAAAGACUUGGCUAUACUCGAAUGGAUCUCUAUUUGAAUCCAGACAGAUAUAUUGAAUGAAGGAGAUCUCACAUCGAUGAUUCGAGCAAUUAGAUGUAAUCUAGUAGCAGUAGACAUAAAAAAUCAUGUAAUUUAGAAAUUCCUAAUUUAUGUAUCAGAUAGUCAAAAAAUUAAAUAAUAUAAAUAAUGUCAAAUUAUUUUUUUUUUCGGAUCACUUAUGUAUAGACUAACGGCCUCCAAAUUAUAUGACUUUUAAUAUACAUGCUGUUUAAAGAUAGUAAAUCAUAUUCAAUAGCUCGGAUUAUCGAUAUGAGACCCAUAUCAUCCUAUCAAAAUUUGAGAGGAUUUGAAUGGAGAUAUCGCAUGCAAUCACUCCACAUACCAUCCAUAUAAGACCGUAUGCAAGAUAGCACCAUCCAAUCUAUACCAAAUAACAUGAAGGUCCAAUUCCAAGCAAAGAAUAACCCUUCACAUUACAAAGAUAAAGCAUGGAAUAACUUUUCAUACCAAGGUAUGGUUCAUAUCCAAAUAAUCUUACUUUAUUCCAAUGCCCCUAGCACAAACAUUUAUUUUUGUGAAGUGAGAAUUUCUUUUCUGAUGCAAACUUAAUACUUCCCUGGAAGUGCUGGCCUUGCCCCAGGACGAAAUCAAUCAACAACAAACUUUCGCAUAAAUCAACUGAAUCAACUGAUACCGUAACUAAUCUCUCUACUGCAUUAACAGCUACAUAGCUCAUAAAGUUCAGUACUAUGAACACGUAACCUUGCCAGCAACCAAACGUCCAUUUGAAAAGUUAAUUUAUGGACUAAACCCCAAGUUUAAUUGAAGACCAUGGACUCCUAGAUUGCAAUCCAAUUUCUGGAAUAGAUUUGCCGUUGUUUCCAGAUCCAAAGAGAAGAUAUAACGGGGGCAAAAGCUUGGAAUCCUCAAUGCUUAAGAGUUGGAAACUCUUAAAGGGAAAAGUAAAAGAAAAGAAGAAAUGGGACAAUAUAUAGUUCGAUACAAAAUUCUCAAUGAAUCACUGAAAAGUCACAGGAUGUGUUUGCCUGUCAUAAAACAAACCGUAUCCAGAUACAUCACUUGCCAAACAACCCAACAAGUUGACCGAUUAAAACCAUUGAUUCUAUUUUAUGCUACUAAAUCUUUUGUUUUUUAUCUCAAAAGAAAAAUUAAUUCUACAAUUAUUCUUCAACUCAAUUUUUCAUGUAUCAUAGCAAGAUCAAUUGAACAAGAUCACACUGCAGCAGUUUUGGGGGCGUAAAGUCAUAUAUGAAUUAGGUACUUGCAAGCAUAAAUUGGACAAAAUUUAAAUCAAACCAUGCUUUAAAGAAGCAUUCGAUACAUGAUACACAAAUACUUCGCGCACACAGUUUGAUACCCUCAUGCCUCAUCUUCGGCUUAUUUCAAAUUAGGCUGAAAUACUCUUAACACCACUCAUCCAUGACAUAUGCAGAUGCUUGCAACACUCUUUAGUAUUUGUCAAGCAAAGGUUUUGUUGAUUGCAUAUGAAUUCAGAGACAAAUGCAACAUUGGCUCAUGGACGCCAACAAGAUAUACAUAUAUGCCAAAUCGUCCAUGUCAUAGCUUACUAAAACCCCUUUGUUGUUAUGAUGUCAAUGUCCGAAAGCAGAUUUCAGAAACAUUAACAUGGCAGCAAGCUUAAACUAUGACAAUGGUGAAAGAAAUUUGUACCAUACCAAUACUUGUCAACAAAAGAAGCAUACAGGCAAGUGCACAGACUACAUGCAUACAUAGCAACAAUCCAUGACAUGAAAGCUAAGAAUCAGUACUAUUUAGACAAGCUUGAUUUAUUUAAAUUGAGAAACCAAACACUUUGUAAAAUGUGCAAACAAAUGCCGUAACCGAUAAAGGAUAAACAGUCACAACAUUGACCAGAAAACCACAUCUAAUUGACUGCAGAGUGCAAACCUACUGCAACCUCAGAAUGUCUUCUUCCUUCUAGUGCUUCUUAUCUUUCAAUGGGCUCCUGGGAAUCUUACUUAGAACCUUGGCAUCAAACACCCCAUACUGCUUCUUGAUUUCUGCCAUUGCCUUCUCCGCAAAUGAGUCGACCUUGUCCUCAUACUUCUCAUACAGAACUGGCACCGUAUGCAACGUCACAAGCACUGUUUUAUUUCAUUCACAAGAGAUCCAAAAAAGUUUAGAAGUUCAAUGCAUUAAAAACCAAAAACUACCUACAGGAUUUUAACACACAAAGACUGGGAAAUUGAAAGAUAUCAUUACUGGUAUAGAACAAGGUCAAGAAAUUGCAGCAGCUCCCAAGGAUCGAAAGAACCCAGAGUCCGGCAAUCACCUAAGAAACGAUGUGUAUCAUUCAGUACAACAUAAACCGAGGCUCGCAAAAUGUUAUUUAAUAUCCAAGGGAGGCACAAGUCGAAUCAACAUACAACAAGGAACUUCUUCAGGUCCCGUCCUGAUGCGAUCUCCCUUAGAACAGCAAAGGCCCUGUUAAUCUCAUACCUCAGAGAGAGCGCAACAUUCACGGCCAGGUCUUCGGGAAUGCUCGCCUCUGGUAUGCGUGGCGGAGCCCUGAAAACAGAUGGAAAAUAAGUUAAAGAUCUAAUCUUGGACAUAAAGAAUCCAAAGUUUGUAUUUUUAAAAGAAAGACCUCACUUGUUGAUGAAGGUGCUUGCAUUGGACCAGAGGAAGAGAAUGGCCAGUGAGAGAAUGAGGCAGUGGCAGACCAGAGAGAGCAGAUGGUACUCAAGCAGCUCGAACAGAACCCAGACGGCGGUGGCCCCACCAAUCACUCCGGCGGAGAUCUUCUUGUUCCUCCACAGGAAAACAUCAGCAGCUGCAACAGUGAUAGACCUUAAUAAAUUUAAGGGGAAAAAUCAUGAUUUCAGAAAAACUAAUAUUUUGUGAUAAAGAUGAAUGCAAAAUUAUCGAGGUAAAAGAUUUUAAUAAAGAACAAGUGGCAUCCAAACCAAGGUAGGGUUUUUCACUUUAAAUCCACAAUAAUCGAUGGAAGUGAACAAGAUAAAGAUCAACAAUACUUAAAACGGCAUGAUAUAGUUUUCCUCCACUGGUUUCGAAAACCCGAAAAUCUAAGUACUUCCCAGUAGUAGAAAGAGAGUACCCAUUUAGGCGAUCGAGAUAGAUUUAAAAUAAGGAAAAAAUCACACCAAAGAACUCAGUUCGAAGCAUCUCGGUAGACCUAACCACAUGGGAUCCGAUUAUACAUUUCCAACCAAAAAAAAAACAAAAAGAAAUUUAUACUUUGCUUAACCUAGAUGAAGAAAUCAAAGGCAGCGGAUGGUGUGGAGGGGAUUGAAGGAGCGAUGGGAAAAGGAGGCGAUCCAUACGCUUGCCGCCGCCGAGGACGUUGUGGACGGACCUCUCCCGCCCGAAGAGGCGGUAGAUCUUGGCCUUGAUGGAUGAGGCGGACGGCUUCGAUUUCUCGUUGUCCGAAUCGGACGAGGAGGAUGAGUCGCCGUGGAGCUUGCCGACGAUCUUCUCCAUCAGCGACUCCGGCUUCGAGCUCGACUCCUCCGAGUGCUCAGCCAUCGCUCGCGACGAAACCCUAAUCCUCCUCCGCAGGGACACCGGAACGGCUGCUCUCCCAGGCACGACGGGAGCUCGAUCUCGCGCUCCACUUGGGAGAAAUCUCGACGGCGACUGGGGGGAUUAUAUACGGGGGACAGAGCCUCACAUAUGCGAUCCUGACCGUCGGAACCGGGCGCGUGGGGAUCGGGCCACUCGGCUCGAAAAGCCGGGCAGCGCGGGGCAACGGUAUGUGAAAUGGAUCAAAUUCCGUCUCCACGGUUGACGGCCGUCAAGAGUUGAGGGCAGCUCUUUUUUUUUUUUUAAUUAAAGCAGCGGCUCACACUAGACAAGUGCGAGCGCAUCUAGAAUAAUUCGAACUAAGAAGCAUAUGCAAAGUGGGAGGAACGGCCUCAUUGCUCUCUCAAACAAGCCUCUCGAAUGAUGCAUGGCAAAAGACGCAAUCCAGUCGACGGCUCUAUUUGCUUUUCAAAAAAUAUGCAUGGCCUAGAAAGUGUCAAACUUUUUUAACUGUUCUCAACGAGCAUCUCGCAUGAAUAAAGUCUUCUCAAGCUGCUCUCAACUCUACUCUAGUAACCGAUCCAUCGUAGGUGUGCCGGUCUCUCGCUGCUACGAAUCUAUAGUUAUAGUUUUUGAUUACAAAGCUCACUUGAGGAAGCUAGAUGGUAGGGGCUCCACGGUAUCUUACUANNNNNNNNNNNNNNNNNNNNNNNNNNNNNNNNNNNNNNNNNNNNNNNNNNNNNNNNNNNNNNNNNNNNNNNNNNNNNNNNNNNNNNNNNNNNNNNNNNNNNNNNNNNNNNNNNNNNNNNNNNNNNNNNNNNNNNNNNNNNNNNNNNNNNNNNNNNNNNNNNNNNNNNNNNNNNNNNNNNNNNNNNNNNNNNNNNNNNNNNNNNNNNNNNNNNNNNNNNNNNNNNNNNNNNNNNNNNNNNNNNNNNNNNNNNNNNNNNNNNNNNNNNNNNNNNNNNNNNNNNNNNNNNNNNNNNNNNNNNNNNNNNNNNNNNNNNNNNNNNNNNNNNNNNNNNNNNNNNNNNNNNNNNNNNNNNNNNNNNNNNNNNNNNNNNNNNNNNNNNNNNNNNNNNNNNNNNNNNNNNNNNNNNNNNNNNNNNNNNNNNNNNNNNNNNNNNNNNNNNNNNNNNNNNNNNNNNNNNNNNNNNNNNNNNNNNNNNNNNNNNNNNNNNNNNNNNNNNNNNNNNNNNNNNNNNNNNNNNNNNNNNNNNNNNNNNNNNNNNNNNNNNNNNNNNNNNNNNNNNNNNNNNNNNNNNNNNNNNNNNNNNNNNNNNNNNNNNNNNNNNNNNNNNNNNNNNNNNNNNNNNNNNNNNNNNNNNNNNNNNNNNNNNNNNNNNNNNNNNNNNNNNNNNNNNNNNNNNNNNNNNNNNNNNNNNNNNNNNNNNNNNNNNNNNNNNNNNNNNNNNNNNNNNNNNNNNNNNNNNNNNNNNNNNNNNNNNNNNNNNNNNNNNNNNNNNNNNNNNNNNNNNNNNNNNNNNNNNNNNNNNNNNNNNNNNNNNNNNNNNNNNNNNNNNNNNNNNNNNNNNNNNNNNNNNNNNNNNNNNNNNNNNNNNNNNNNNNNNNNNNNNNNNNNNNNNNNNNNNNNNNNNNNNNNNNNNNNNNNNNNNNNNNNNNNNNNNNNNNNNNNGGUCCAUCGAUCAACUAGAUCUAACCCUGCCAUGCUAAAACCUACUUGACCUUGGUAUCUUCUAAUAAGGGACCCACUCGACUAAUAGAGCUCUGAUACUAGAGCUAAAAAGAUAUCGGAUAGGUAUAUUCAUGUUCAUAUUCAUAUUUUUCUAACAUGUACAAAUAGAAUACAUAUAUUACAAGAAUACCAAAAAUUAAUAUUCAUAUUUAUUCAAAAUAGAUGCAUAUGUGAAUCGAAUAUUAAACAUAUGUACCUAUUUUGAAUGGAUAUGGAUACAAAUCAUACACAUCAGAUAUACCGAUAUUUUUUUAUCAGAAUACAAAUAUAAGUCAUAUAUUAUUUUCUUAUAAAUAUAAUUUGUUAGCUUAAUUUAAUAAUAAAUAUUUUUCAAUUAUAUAAUUAUAAAGAACUAGAAUAUAAUCGACUAUGUAGAUUGCACAUGACACAUAGAUAGCAAAGGAUCUACGACAUAGUUAUUAACUGCAUGAAGACUAACCUAAGCAAGAGAUCGGAUUAUUGAUCAGACCAAUUUUGUAUUAAAAAAUAAAAACUAAAAAAUAUUUUAAAAAUUAUAAUACAAAAUUAUUUAUAAUUUUUGCAUCAAAUACCAUCACUAAUUUUUACUUACAAUAUAACUAAAAAAUAAUCAUGAAUUAUUUGCUUCCAUAGAGCUUGUAUGAAAAACAUGCAUAAAUGUAGGAAUACAUAGAAGUUAUAAUAUUUUUAAAUUUUAAAAUAAAAUUUUGAAAGCAUAAUAACGAAUAAAAUAAAGUAAUACUAAUUAUUUAUAUUGUCACAUAGAUAGGAAUCCACUUUUAUAAUAUGACAUAUCACAAAAACAUGAAAUAAGAAUAACUAUAGAACAAAGUUAUAUUCGAAUCCAUACGUAGGUCCGGCUGGAUACCGUUAUUUCUAUCUUUACACACCAGUAACUGCAAUACUAACAUAUACAGUGAACUGCUCUCCGUGCUUCAGUUUUAUUUACAUGCUAGUUAUGCUCUGAGAGGAAUGUAGCCGUUGUUAUCGGGAUGCAGUAAUCCAUGACUUGGAAUUGCUAAUUUGGAUCAAAGAGGGCCCCAGCCUGUCUGGAUUUCAUCAUUUGAUUGGGAUCACGAUAAGGUCAUGAUGUUGAGAUCCAUAUCAUGGAUCAGUCAUUUGGAUCAUAAGAUCCAUUCUGAUCGUGUUAAUUACAUCAAAACCUCAGCUAAAUAUAUUUCCAAUGGUUAUUUCACUUUUCUGCUUUUACAACGACUUGGUAUUCACAAGCCCAAGAGAGUCUGUGGCUGACCAGUGCAUGUCAAGUUCAAUGAUAGAGAUUAGAGAAGCCUUUCUCUUGUUUUUCACUUUGUCCUUGCUUUGUUUCCAUUUUCCUUUUAGGUUUCAUUAGCAUGACCCUCACGCUUAAACUUGCCCCAACCCAAUAUAUGACUCCAAUUUUAGAGCUUGGCAUCAAGCUGGUAUUUAGUUGUAAAUAUCUGCUUAGCCUUUCCUUCAAAAAACUUCUGCUUAAUCUUUUUCAUGGAGAAUUCUGAGCUUAGAGCUAUAUAAGCUCCAUUUCCGAACCCACUCUUGUAGGGAAAUGUUUAGAAUAAUUUGACGAGGAGAAGGAUGACAAACGGUCUUCCUUGUAUAACAUUGACAAAGCUUUCGGUCGGAAAAUCCAAAUGGUACAUGGGUCGGCGGUGGGCACCAACCGAGAGGAGGAAAAGGGGUCGCUCGGUGGGCACCAGCCGAGAGGAGGAAAAGGGGUUGCUCGGGGGGGCAGGGCUAGGGCUUGUAAGGGCUUCGAUCAAGUCAGGCACUGGGUGUAUUUGGGUUUGGAGGAGUUGGACUCCGAUGAUGCUUAUAAGCGUCGUCUUAGGAUCAGGCUUCCGACGACGCUUAUGCGCGUCGUCUAAGGUUCAGACUUCCGACGACGCUUAUAAACAUCAUCUUAAGGUGGCGUAUGCUCUGAUGACGCUGAAACAUAUUGGCGAAGCGGCCAGGAGUCUGACGAUGCUUUUUAGCAUCGGCUAAGCUGGCAGGAGUUUGCCGACGCUUUUAAGGGGCCAAAUUUACUGACGCUUCUACCUAAUGUCGGCAGCUAAAUGUCAGGAAUGACCUCUUUUUCUGCAGUGAGUGGACGGCAUAGUUCUUAGUUUGAUAUUAAGACAGCAUCUGAUAUGUGUAAAUAUUUAAAUGAAACUAGGUAAGGAAUCCUCCUGAAUAGAUCUAGGGUUACUACUUUUCUGUGCAUAAAGUAUAUGUUAAAUGUCUACUACCGCACUGAAUCUUCGAACCUUCUCAAACCCUAUUCAUUCGGCGAUCAACCGACGAUCGAUCGGGCGGGCAGGUUGGGAAGGGGUGAUUAGUGGAGAAAGGAAUCGUUGAGAGAUAGAUUCUACUGUUUGAUCAGGACGAAUGUGAAUCCGUAAUGAUAGAAGCGCAGAAACAUCUGAUCCCAUGAAUGUUGAGAAGCAUGUUGCUUGGCUUUCCAACUGCUUGAGAACAUCAUAAUAGUUGACUGCAUCUUCUUAGGAACUUGCUGCACCAUCAACUUAAUUAGAGAAAAAAAUCGGAGAACACAGCGGAUAGAUGCUCCACACCUAUUCUCAGACAUAUCCCUUUCCGGAUUUUCAUGGCAAAUGGACAUUUAAGAAGGAUGUGGACAGUACAUUCUGAAAGAGCACAUCAUAAAAAAAAAGGAAAAAAAGAAAUAAAAACUGAAUCAAGGAUCGCUCCUGAAAGCGUAUCGAUCCUCCAAUACAUCGACCAAGUUUCCUUUGAAGAUUGCCCCUGGAAUCGAUUUGGCUCGUGAAACAGAGUACAAAAGAAAACAUUUAAUAUUGGUUGGGAUCUUCAGCUUGCCCAAACACCUGGUUUCCAUCCACUUAAUUCCUCUUAAGACUCGGAACUCGUAGAAAGAGGCAGCUGAGAACACACCUUUCUUAUCCAGAUUCCACACAUUUUGAUUAUGGUCUAUAUUUAGGUGGAAAUCUGCCAAAAGAACUGAUAGUUUUUGGAGUUCUUCCUUGGUCUCGUUAAAGAGGACCGAAUUCUAAGCUUCUAAGAUGCUGUUUUACUAUUGCACAACCUGAUUUUUUUAGCAGAACUAAACGAGCAGCUUUCUCAAGAUAUAAUCUAGCUUAUUAUCUUAUAUUUUUUUGUCAAACCCAUGUUAUUUUAGGCUCCUGGGCUAAUGAAGGCAUUGUCCAUAAGGACUUGGACGCUUAUUAGGAAUUAUUUCAAAGGCAUCAAGCAGGUAUAUUAUUUCAACAGAUUUAUAAGGAAAUGCAAGUUUGCUUACAAAAAUUAAAAAAACAAAUGGAGUGGUUGUCAUGAGCAACCGCGGUCUGGGGUUGAUACAGAUACGUACAGUCUAGAGGUUACGUUGUCACGAUUUGGGAGGAUUCUGUCACACAGUUACUGCUGCGGAGAACCACCCCUAGUUUUUUUUUCUGAUGACGGGGGAGACCAUGGGCGUUGAGGCGCUUGGAGUUGUUCUAUCUGCUGAGGGAUAUGGUGAUAGAAAAGGCAUGUCACGCCGGGUUGCAUUCAGCCAUUAACAAGAGAGUCCACGACGAGAGCGACAGAGUUUUUUUUCCAGCUGCUGAUGCGAAAGUUCGAGAGGUCGGGUACCGUAAAGUUGAUGGCAGUGUUCUGUUUCUCCCCUCAGCAACGACUGCAUGCCAAAAUGGAACUUUCAAGGUGUUUGUUGAUGGAUGCUCAAGAAUGACUGUAGUGUGACAUUUGAAGGCGAACCACCUUGAAAUUUGAAGAUCUCUUUGUUAUUGACAAUAAAUUGAAGAAAAAUGAUGUGUCCCUGCUCAAGAAUGGAAGUUGAGAUUUGCUCUAGUUUGGAUGUCAUGGAGGUUGCCUUGACUAUCGUCCUAGACUUUACAGAUGGACAGUUUGCUAGAAAUAUUUUGCCUAAAAAUUAUUAUAUUUUUAUUUUAUAAAAGUAUUAUAAAGAAAUAGUCUAUUAGAAUAAAAUCAGAUGAUUGAAAAGAGCCUAGCUGGAUCGAGGCGUAUGAUAUACAUUGUCCUAAUUAAGAACGUGAUUUGCCUCCUACGUGCAGGUCUGCGACAAUCUCAUUCUCAAGGUACUACAACCUGGCUCAACCUGAUCCUUUUCUAAUGAGCACGAUUGCUAUGGAUGCUUGAUCCGGUCGACUCCUUCAGAUGCCCAGAAAAGAUACAAAGCUAGAAAGUAGAAAGUUGGAGAGUGAAAGAACUCUCUAUCUGCGAAAGAAACUCUCGAGAGACAGAAUGCCAGUAAGAGAGACAUUGGAUCGUUUUUUAAUUAAUCCUGAAAGAGUUUAUUUAUAGAUUCUAUCUGGAAGACCGAAAAGAUGCGAUGAUUCCAAAGAUAUGUUAUGUUUUGGAAUUACCGUAUCUUUUUGAAAACUAACGUUCUUUUUUGAAAAGUUACGACUCUUCUAACAUAGUAUUUCGAAAAAAAAUAUUUAAAAUAUUUAAAACAACUAAUGGUUAAGAAAUAAAAAGAUAAUUUUAUUAAUUCAAACGCGAACACAGUUUUCAGAACGAUAUAUGUUGAAAGAAGAGCACCCUAGCAGUGUAUAUACUGACUCUCACCAAAAUCUGUGAAAGAUUUGGAAACUACAGGCCAGAAUUUCUCAGAACUUUUGCAAGGGAAGGAUCACUUAUGACAGGGAAUUUAUGUGAUAUUUUUUUUGGAUAAUGCACUGUUUUGAUUUGGAAAAUAUGGUAGAAAAAUUGAACUUGUUAUUUAGAAAAAAUGACAAAAAAAAUGCACGAUAGGCUCCCAGGGAACAAACUCUGUGAUAGUCCAACGUGUGAGUUGAGAGCUGGAGCAUGAUGGUCAUCAGAAAUCAAAGCAAACCACCCUAGGCCCUAAUAGCAUGUGCAUAGAAUAUACAUCAUGGUUCAAUAUUUUUUCACUCAUCAUUAUUGUAUUUACUCUGACCUCCAUAUGUAGAUCAAAAUAUUGGAUAUAGAAUGCCGAUCUUCAAAAUGUGAAAAAAAAGGUCCAAUAUUAAUUUGGUGGUUUGAGAUGUGAUAACUCUGAUCGAGCUUGGUGGCACCAAACUUCUGGAGGUUUGGGAUGUGAAUGCGACACAGUACCGAUAGUUCUGCCACUUCAUUACUUAUUCAGAGGAAGGGAACAAUGGUUCAAUAGGCAAAAUUUUGCAGCUGGUCGCUGCUAUUGCAUGAAGUUUGUACUCGUGAACUUUAUGGUGUGGGGAACGGUGCAUUAGUAGGCAUGUGAACUUGAUAUUUGUUAUCGUGCGUCGAAGCCAAGUCCAAAGUCCAAAGUCCUAAUUAUAUGCAAUCUGAAAACUUCCAUAUUGCUCCAUUUUGGAGAUCCGUGAGGAAGAGGUUCGACGUCUAAAUUUGUACACUGUGCAUGAUAUGAAGUGCAUAAUUCCAAAUUGUGCAUAGUUGCCUGCAUGCCUGCAUGGUUCGCCUUGAUCUGACGUGGUCUGGAUUAGUGUGAAAAACUGAGUCAAUAUGACCAUAGGUUAGCUCAAGGGGACCGGUGGAUGAGGCAAUACAGUUUUAUAUCUUGCAUGGGUAAUGCUUCCAGAUUCAUGUUACAUAUCACACGAACAAUUUUGCUUCUUUUUUUUUUGGCCACACGGCACAAGGGAAUCAGUGUAAUUUAUCCAGAGAGAAAGAUAGAGAUUCAGUCCAAAGAAGCCUUACAUAAUAGGAGUUAAAUAGACUUAAGCACAACUCUCUCUUUCUCUCACGCAGCUCCUUGUCAGUUUGCAGUCCAAUAGUAGCCCAUGAACAUUCCUCGCAGAUUGGAUUUAGCCAUUGACAGGCUAAAUCAUACAUGAUCAUGAUGACACCUUCAGCCAAAAAAAAAAGGCAUUGUCCAUGACCCGAAGCCCCUCAAGUGCCUUUACACACAAAGGGUUGGUUAAUUACGAAAUUAUCAAAUUAGCAUUUUUCCUGGCCAAUAAACAUUUCUUCUGCAUAUAAUGGAUGCCUCAAAGUAUUUCCAUCUUACACACACACUCUCUCUCUAUGUACGUAUGUAUGCAUGCACGCAUGCUUGUAUUUAUGUAUGUUUAUAUGGAUAUGUACGUAUAUAUAUUGUUGAUUAUCACUUGAUGACUUAAAUCUUUUGUAUUGCUUUUAAAAGGUGCUCGGUGAUAAUAUAGAGACCAAUUUAUUAUAGGACCAAUAUCCCUUAUAGCACUUACAACCCUUAGAAAAUUCAACGUCAGCUUGACAAGAUCCAAGAUCAUCAAUCUCCCCUUGGGUAACAUCAGAGUACAACCGACGGUAGAUGGCAAGAUGGUAAUUUACUGCAACGCGAGGCCCGUUUAAUUAGAACGACUAUAGAAGCCGUAGCUCCAGCAUUCCUUGUCCGCUUGCACCCGUAAGCAAAAGCGGGAAAGUAUCUGCUUCUCCUGUCAGAUACUCCGCCAGUCCAACUUUCCCUAUAUGCCUCCCUCCUCUCCUCCCCCUGCCAUUGAAAAGUUAAAAAUAGGAAAAACGCCAGCUUUACCAAAAAGCCUUUUCCUUUUACAGGCCCCCGUACCAAUCAGACGGCGCACAAACACGCUCCAUGAUCACCCACGGCUGAGAUGCAUCAAGCAGUACCAAAUCCCUGCCGCUCGGUACGAGUCACGUUCCUCUCGACAGCACUUCCUUUCCCACCUCACGUGACAUUCCCUCCCGACCAUGGAAAUUGGAAAACGACUUCAGCACGAGCUUUGAGAUGGCUACCGACUGGGGCGCACGCUAAAUUCAAAGUCCAGCUGUAUGAAAUUCGACUGACUGGAAUUUAUAAUUCUUGCAAUCCGCUUUGCAGCGGGGCUGCCAUGCGGACGCGAAAAAAGAUAUUGCAGUAUGUUUAAAUUUCUCUCACUUCCGUCCGUCCCGUGGAAAAGGCAUGAUUGUCCUGCCGAGGCUGCACUAACUGCUGCUUUCUGACCCUUCACACGGUCUUUGCAGCGUUUCUGCUGCCCAAACUUACUCUCCUCCCCUUCCCGCUUUCUUCCUUCUUCCUCUUUUUUAGUCUCCUGCUCCUUCUCCUCUGCGCUUCUCUUCCCUCUCUUUAAAACGUAGUAAAGAAGAGAGAGCUGAAGAGGGAAAGGAAAGUAGCCGAGAGCGCUGCCCUGCCCCUGGCUAACCCAACCAUGGAGUCAUUCAGCUUGCUCAAGUACUGGAGGGGCGGUGGCGGAGCGGCUCUGGCUGCAGCCGCCGCCACGGCCGCCUCUAGCGUGUGCACCGCUGCUAACGCCGCCACUACCACCAUCGCCACCUCUGUCCUCAACCCGUCGGCAGAGACCGACGACGACGGCGGAGAUGUCGGCGACGAUGGCCCCUUCUUCGAUCUCGAGUUCGCCGUGCCGGAGGAGGACGGCGAGGGGGAGGAGGAGGACGGUGGAGAAGAGAAGGAUGGCUCUGCGGCGGGGAUGGAAGCGGAGUCGGACGAUAACGAGGAGGGGGAGUUUAAUUUCAUGGUGUCUUCGGAGGGGAGCUGCGGCGGCGACCUUCGGUCCGAUCCCCUCUCUCCUUCAGACGAUCUCUUCUUUAAAGGGAAGCUCGUGCCUCUGGAGCCAUCCUCGAUCGUGAUCACCUCGUCCGAGGCCGAUCCCAGGCCUCAGUUCGCCGUUUCCCUUCUCAAGUCCGCGACCAAGUUUCGAGUCUUCAUGUUAGGCCUCCGGAAGGCAAAAUCCACACCGGCGGAGCCCAAUGGGGCUCCCGCCGCCCCGAGCACGGCGGCCACGGCGUCUCCAAAGCAGCAAUCGCGGCCGCAGCCGAGCAAGUUCUUCAUCAAAUUUAAGGUGGAGGAGGUACCGAUCAUCUCGCUCUUCACCCGCGACAACGGCUCCCGUAACUCCAGCGGCAGUAAAGCGGCGAAAUCCCAGGCGGAGGAAUCCGCAGCAGCGCCGUCCUCGGCAGCGGCGGAGGACUCCGCAGCAGCGCCGCCCUCGGCAGCGGCGGAGGAGAAGAAGUUCUCCAAGGAAGUGGUGCAUAAGUACCUCAACAAAAUCAAGCCGCUCUAUGUCAGAGUAUCGAAGAGGUACGCCCAGAAGCUGAGGUUCUCCGGUCACCUGACCCCAGGCGAGGCGGCUGCGGCGGCGGCGGCGAAGGCCGGGCCCAACGAAGGCGAGGAGACGGACGUGGAGGCGGAAGCGGCCGCGCCGCCGUCGGCGGCACCGGCGACGACAGCAGGGACGGCGGCACCGGCGACGACAGCGGGGACGGCGGCGAGCGGCGUUAAGUGCCAGAAAGUGAACUUGCCGACGGGGUUGAAGGUGGUGUGCAAGCGGCUGGGGAAGAGCCGGUCGGCUUCGGCCGCCGUCGCCGCGGUGCCGUCACCGCCGCCGCAGAGGCGGGACGACUCGCUCCUCCAGCAGCAGGACGGGAUCCAGAGCGCCAUCGCGCACUGCAAGAAAUCGUUCAACGCGGCCGAAGGUACGAACGAGCCGGGUCCGGUCACCUCUCUUAAGGAGCGGUUGGUGAUGAAUUUUGUUUUGUUUUUUUUAAGUAAUGAUUGGUGAUGGUUUUAAAACAUUAGGUUUCUGUCUCUUUUGGUGGAUUUGGGUCCGGUUUGGCAGGGUCCGAGUCGCCUCUGGUGCGAUCCAAGAGCGAUCCAUGCGAUGGGAGGUCCGAUAAGGGCGACUGCGUUUGAUGAUCUGAUCCUCACCGUUGGAGUUUUGAUACACGACGUGAGAAAAAAGUUAGAUGUCUUUCGUCCUAUGGUGGAAGUAUGGCGUUAUGGAGAGAGCUGGCGGCGAAAGAUCUCUUUUAGCCGCGGCGAAGUUGUGUGCCUCUUUCUUUUUUGGGGGAGGGUAAGUUUUUUCUCUAUCUUUUAAAUGUUCGAGUGGCGGUGCUUGUGUAAUUAUAUAUCUUCCUUAUCUAUUCGAACUUUACCAUUGCGAUGGAGCCGUUCUUUCUUGUUGGUUACACUACACGGAAGACGAGGAGAGAGCGAGAAGGAGAAGACAGUAGUUUCUUUUUCUUCCUCGUUCUCGUGAGAAGGAGAGGACGAUUACGUGAAAGAUUCUGUGGCAUGGGGAACUCUGCUGCUAUUUCUUUAACCAUCAUUUUUGAGCAUUUAUGUGCAAUGCUGCAGCAGCUCUGCGGCAGUCCUAUGUAUCUUUAGCUCUUUUCUUUCCGUCUUUGCGUGGGUGGGUCGUCAGGAACCUGAAUACCGGGGCCUUUUUUAGCUUAUGGCAAAGAGAAAGUAGCUAGCCAAGGCCAGAAAGGAAACCUGAAAAGCUUUGACAACAGUGAGAAGAGCAUAGCUGCAUCGGCCAAGCUCUCCUCUCUCCCUCUCUCCCUCUCCCCCCCUUCGCUUUUUGCCUUUUGUUUCAGAAAUGUAGUGCCAGCACCGGAGCUCUAUCUACUCUUCUUUUGCUCNNNNNNNNNNNNNNNNNNNNNNNNNNNNNNNNNNNNNNNNNNNNNNNNNNNNNNNNNNNNNNNNNNNNNNNNNNNNNNNNNNNNNNNNNNNNNNNNNNNNNNNNNNNNNNNNNNNNNNNNNNNNNNNNNNNNNNNNNNNNNNNNNNNNNNNNNNNNNNNNNNNNNNNNNNNNNNNNNNNNNNNNNNNNNNNNNNNNNNNNNNNNNNNNNNNNNNNNNNNNNNNNNNNNNNNNNNNNNNNNNNNNNNNNNNNNNNNNNNNNNNNNNNNNNNNUCAAAUUACACUCGAUGUCUUCUCACUUUGUGAGAUAACAUUAUUUAACAAUAAUUGAAAUGGUAAUGCAACCAUUGUGUUGAUUCCUUUUUUAUAUUAACCAACGAAAAACGAAUUGCAAGAUUUUCUUUCUUUUUUGGGUUCACAACGAGACAAAGCCUCAACUAAGUAAAUGUAAAACAAGAAUAAUUGAAACAAUCAGCCCUAGCUAAGUCCAUAAACUAAGUAGAGUGGGAAAGCUUGCAUUUUGUUCAAUACUUAUCCUAGUAGUAAAGGGAUAUUAGAAGCUUUAAUUUUAGAAAGAAUAGAUCAAAGAUAAGAAUUAGUUGGUUUUCAAGUCUGCAGAACCUAUAAAAUGGACAGCAUUUAGAAGAAGAGAAGACAUUAAUAUUCAACAGUAUAUGAUGGUAAUAUUGUUGAAUCAUGAGGAGAGGGGGGCGGGCACAGACUUAGUGAAGAAAAGGAGGCACAUAAAAGGAAUAUAUUUUGCUAAAAUCAAAGGAAAUUCUGGAACAUAAUAAAAUUAUGGAUGUGUAAAUAAAAUCAACAGAAAAUAGUAGAAAAUAAUGGAUAUUGUAAAUACAAUCAACAUAGAAUAGGAGAUUUUAUAUACUUACCAAAGUGAAGGAUAUUUCGGAAUGAAAAAUUCUAGUUGCUCCAUAUAACUAGAACCAGACACAUGCAAAACAUGGGACGGAUAGAAAAAAGAGAUCUAGUUUAAAAUAUCUCUUGAUGAUUCGUCCAAAUUCAAUAUUAACUAUUAUUUGACUAAUCUUUGGAGGAGUCUUAGUCAUUGUUCAUGCCAAUAUAGGAAACUUUAGACUAGUCAAAUGUAAGUUAACUAUAAGCUCCCAUCUCUGAAAAAGAGCACGCAUAGAAUGGAUUAUUCUUGCAAGCAAUACUACUUGAUGUUCUUAAUUAAUAAAGGGUGAUUUGCAAGAUAUCUGCACUAGUCUAAAAAAAAUGCAAAUAUGAGGCCCUCUUUUUUUCGUAUUUUGUGGGAUAGAUUUCUGAUUAUUUUAAAUUUUUUUGGGCCAUUGUACUCCUAGAUAAUUAAUACAUUAACAUAUGGCACAUAUAUAGGCUCAUUAUUAUUAUUUUUUUGCAUUGACAAGCUUAGAAUGGAUAUUCAUUUGCUAUAUCUUAGAAUGAGUUACUUGUGUUUUAAAACAAGUUAAUAGGAAGUGAUUUGCUUGGCAUUUAGUAAAGCAUAUGCCAUAUCUUGAAUGUUUAGCAUGAGAUUUCAAUAUAAUUUGAGCUUUUAGUAGUCCUACUUUGGAGUUCAUAUCAUUGAUCUCAAAGGACUCAAAUGAAUCCAAGCACUCUUGAUAGCUCUAUUGUUAUUAUUACAGCAACUAAUAUCUAGCACUGUGAUGCAUGCAAUCUAUGCAAGAGAGAAAAGCAAACUGAUAGACGGCUAUAAUCCCAUUUGCUUGGAAGACGGGGUGGAGCACUCGGCUUCUCUCUCCUUUCUUUUUUUUUUNNNNNNNNNNNNNNNNNNNNNNNNNNNNNNNNNNNNNNNNNNNNNNNNNNNNNNNNNNNNNNNNNNNNNNNNNNNNNNNNNNNNNNNNNNNNNNNNNNNNNNNNNNNNNNNNNNNNNNNNNNNNNNNNNNNNNNNNNNNNNNNNNNNNNNNNNNNNNNNNNNNNNNNNNNNNNNNNNNNNNNNNNNNNNNNNNNNNNNNNNNNNNNNNNNNNNNNNNNNNNNNNNNNNNNNNNNNNNNNNNNNNNNNNNNNNNNNNNNNNNNNNNNNNNNNNNNNNNNNNNNNNNNNNNNNNNNNNNNNNNNNNNNNNNNNNNNNNNNNNNNNNNNNNNNNNNNNNNNNNNNNNNNNNNNNNNNNNNNNNNNNNNNNNNNNNNNNNNUUUUUUUAGAUAUACGAUGUGAUGUCACGCCCUUCAGGAGGCGGCACUCAUAGUGAUCGAACCCAAAUUCUAUUAUUUGGGGUCUGAAAUAAGCCGAUCAAAUCGAAACUUUUUUUGGUAAGACUUUGGCUAUAUUUUAAGCCAUACCUCCAAAAUUCUUUCGGUGAGGAGGUAUUGAUUAUCCUGACCUUGGGUUGAGCCGCCCUCUUUGUCCUUGGCUAUAACCGAGGUAAACGAUUUUGGAAAAUACCGCCGUGUCAUUUUGCUUGGUGCGAUAAGGAUUGACAGUUACGCUUAUACAAUGGUAAAUGCAUGAUUGACACAAUUAUCACCGCAUGCUAAUUAUGUGGAGCUGUUACCAACUUACCAUGCUAUUAAUGCACAAUCAACUGUUAUCAUGCGGUUAUGGCACGUCUCACUAAAUUAGGUAAUGGACUUUAAUUUCAUCCUAUAUAUAGAAAUGAUUCGGAAACUCUAGGGUAAGCAAUCUCACGCUCCUUUCUACACAUUCUUCUCUCUCUUCCAUGGUUGCUUUAAAUUUUUAACUUAAACAUCGGAUGGUCUCUCGCCAAAAACCUUCUGACAAGUAGACUUUUUUUGCAGGUUGACACCGCCUCCCAUCUUAGUUUCAACCGACCUCAGAUCACUCCAGUUCCAACCGAGCUCAGCACAACAGCAGGUGGAGUUCGGCCUUAGUACAAAAUCUAGCGGCAAUAUCUUCCAUCUUCUUUUAUUUUUUUUUUUAAGAAAUUCGAGUUGGACAAAUUGAGAUAAUUUUUUUUUCUUCGAUCAAAUUAUAUAUAAAAUAUAUUUAUUGAACUUUUAUCUAAAAACCAAUCAUUUCAUUGGGAUGAAGGAGGAAUUGCAGUGUUCAAAUCACCGACGGCCGCCUAAUUAGAACAUGGAACCUCCUUUCAAGUCUCAACUGAAGAGGGAUUCAAUUACUAGGCUACAAUCUCAUCUGCGAACACCAAAUGUCUUAGAAUUAUCAUAAAUUGUGCUUAAAAUUUUGAAUAUUAAACAGAUUAUUGCACAGUUGUUCAUAAACACUCAGUGCAACUUGGACUUAGUCCAAGCUUAAGUGUUGUUGACUUAUGAGCUUUGUCAAAGCCCAGCCAUGGACCAGAUUCUUAAAUAAAAGCCGGUCUGUAAUCAAACAAAAUUAUUCCAGAUAUUGUUCAAUUGGUCUCAGCCAAAAAUCGCUUGAAAGGUCAGGUUGAGGCUUUUAGCCUAAAACUAAGAAUUAAUCCAAAUUAGAUCUGAAAUGCAGCACUAAUUACCAAACAUGUCCCAAAAAAAAAUCAAUUAUAUUUAACCCAUUGACCAUUCACCAGAUGCGUAGUCCUCUCCCAUUGUUUCUCUCACGCAUGACGUGAUUCACAUGCAUCUCGAAUUUCCCAAGAAGAUUAACUCUCUUGAACAUUUAUUUUGACGGAGAUGGCGAAUACUAAAGAAUUAAUUGUAGCUAAUUCAAGGGACAAGCAUAGGCCCAGAAGCAUAUUGUUUGCAGUCUUCAAUUUAACACCAGUAGAAGGCAAACCCCAACGCAUGAUCUCGUGUUAUGUAAGGGGAACACCAGGAGGUUUUAAAGGGAGCAUUCAUGCCCUCUUGACAGUAAUCCAUUAGAAUCCAAAGCAUUGCACAAAUCAAAGCUUGGUAUGUGGUUCUUUGCCUUUCAUAAAGCCAUGGGGUCCGGGAAUUGCUUACUUUUUCUUUUAACAGCUGGUAAUCUUCACGCUGAUGUUAAUGGUGUGAUGUCUCAUCUUUCAUUUCAACCUUUGGAACUAGUGGUUCCAUUAACCUGGAGGGGUUCCGGAGCAAAUGCGCGAGGCUUUUCUAAUAAACAAAGAUAUAUGAUAGUUUCUUUCUGCUAGAGGUUUGAUAAAUUACAGUAUGUGAAUGGCAAUGCGUGGUCCAUGCGUCCAGUGAUUACUACAUUAAUUGCAAUGGGUUUGUCAUUGGAUGUGGACAUGUUAUUUGUUACACAAUAAUAAGAGUGCCUCUUGUGGCUUGUCCUUUCUCGAUCCUUGUGAAUGGUUAAGCGAUUUUGGUCAAAAUGAUCAUAUUUUUCAACGCAAUGGGCCCUCUUCACUGAAGUAAGGGAAUGUUAAAGGUAGUUCCAAGAUUAGUCAUAACAAAUAAAUAAAUAAAUGAUAGUUCCUGGAUUUUAUUACAUUUGCACUAGGCUUCUUGGGUAUAGCCCAAAUUUAGAGGAGUUUAUGCGAAUUUGCCGGUCUAGGCCCCAACUUGGUCAAAGACUCCUAAAAGAUAUUGCAAAGGGGAGAGUUUUAUUUUUAGAAUUAAGGGCUCGUUUGGUUUGCGGAAAAAGAAAGAGAGAAAGUAUGGUCAACGAAAAAGUAAUAAGAUGUUUCUUAUUUGGUUGGAGUUUUCAAAAAGAGAGACGAAAAAGUUGUAUUUAUAUGGAAAUAUGAUUUCCACAUUUAAUGAAAAAGUAUUUUCCAUGAGAAAUAUAGGAAAGUAACUUUCCCAUGAGGCGGGAAUCACUCAAUCUUUAUUUUUUUCCAAAAAAUCCCUUUAGUAUUAAAGAGGCAUUAAAGACCUAACUUUUAUUAAGGAUAUAAUGGAAAUAACACAUAACUUUCCUAGGAAAGUGGAUGGUCAACCAAACAUAAGUACUCUAAAAAUCUGUUAUUUUUCCGUAUUAACCAAACAUGCCAAAAGUACAUUUCCAGACAUUCUUUUUAGGAAUCAUAUUUUUAGAAGGAAAAAUACCUGGUUUGGAAGCUAAAUCUCUUUUCACUGGCCACCGAAAGAAAAUAGGUUAAAAAAAUUAAAAAAAAUUAAAAUACCAAAUCAAGCACACCGUCUGCGCCAUUACAAUCACCUCGUCUCAUUUAUGUGAAUUAUACUUAUUAUGCAUUCAUCUUGAACUACCGUCCUUCUCAUUUCAUCUUGAAUUGUGUCUAUGGUGCAAGAUAUAAUCUCUUAAUAUGUAACGUCAUAUCAAGUCAGCUUCCUCGAUUCCCUUUUUUUUUCCCUGCGAUCCUAUAAUCUACCUUCGAAAUCAUCCCUAUUUAGAGUACGAAAGUGACAAAAUGGCUGCUGGGCAGCUGUUUAAUCGGCAAUUUGAUAUUUUUUGGGAAAAAUCAUAUUAAUGUUACUAUUACAACAUAAUCCAAAAUUGUAUGGCUGUUACUUUGGUCUCCGGACUAAUCUUUUGUCAAUAUCGCCGGAUCGUGAUUCUACCAACACAAUCAUUAAUAUUCAAUAGUCGUGUCUCAAAUCAUUAUAGAUUCUUUUCAACAGCACUUUCUCAUUGCUAAAGAGGCUGAAACUAGUAAAUCAUAAGAAAAUCCUACGAAAUUAUUUGGUAAAGCGAACAUCAUAAUCUUAGACAUAAUGCCAAAAAACGACUACUCUAUUUAAACCGACACCUAUAUUGUCAAUGAUAAUGAAGAGUAUUAAUUAGGACUAUCAUAGCGGCGCAGAACAACAUAACACGGUUCACAGGUUUUAGCCACGCACAGAAACUUUUUGACAAAGAGAGCUUUUGUAAGCGACGAUUCUUGAGUAAUACGGUAGAAAAUACCACCACACAAUUCAUUAGAGCCGAAAUGGAUACAAAACAAGAAGAAAACAUAGAAAAAACAUAGGCAAGCGAUGAGUGUAUUCUUUUUAGGAACUCUUAACAGCACAAGUUAUAGUCCUAAGACUGAAUAGAUAGCUGAUGACUUGUUGCACGUUCACAAAUGUAUGUAGUGGCGUAUGUAUGUUGGUAUCAAGCGUGGGCUUGGAGUGAGAUAAUAAGCGACCCCACAUAGUUUUUUUUUUUUUUUUUUUUUGGCUGAAAAAAGAGAAAGGGGGGGGGUGAGGAGAACCUCACCGCGUGGCAACCCCCACUGGGCCUCCUCCCCGUUAAGGAGUAUUCGAUGCAGAUAGAAUAUUUUUUACUCAUAUCCUCCCCACUCGUGGCAGAGCUCCACCAGCAUGGCAGCCCUAUCUCCGUGUGAGUAUAUCACACCAGCGCCACCUAAGUAACGGUACACCAGAUAGCGACUUCAUCGAGCAAACCAGACAGAGGGCAUCCGGCCCUCACAUUUAAUCGACGCCCGCAUGUUUCAAAUCUGGGACCCUUCGGUGAAGUCAAAGCCUCAUUCCCACUGUGCUAGCACCUCGGUGGUACCCCACAUAGGUUUUAAGAAGCAAAAAAAGACCGGCUAGCGGCCACUUAGGUCUCAUCAACAUUUCUUUCCUAAUUAGUACUAUAAUACUUGAAUUCGCAGAGAAGAUGGAGAAUUUAGGGCAUGAAUUAGGUUUUUAGGCAUGCAGGCUGGCACUGAUCUAGGUAAUAUAUGUCAAUGCCUCGUGUAUCAAAUAAAUGUUUGGAUCUAUGGCGGGGAUGUACAUUGGGCUGGCCAAGCCAUGGUAACAGAUUAAGGUCAGGUUAAAUUUGGGAUUAGAAAAGAUGGACCAAGUUGAUUGUCACUUUUUCACUAAACAGAGUUGGGUUGUUUGUUUACAAGUCUAAAAGCAUUUCGCUCGACUAUUUAAACAAGUAAUUCAGCUGUAUCUGCCUUUAUAGGUAAUUCGGUUGUAUCUCUACUAUUUAAACAAGAGAAUUUUUUGUUCCCUCCUGCAUAACUUGAUUGCCUUUUUAAAAUGAUUGGACAUUUUAGAGUUUUAUCAAAGGUGGAACAAGUUCUGAAGAGAGCUGGGGAAUUCACAUGUGACUAUCCUUAAGGUAAGAGAGUCUAUGAUCUUUGAUCGGCAUCUUGCGUAGGUUAUUAUGUUUAAUUAGAGUCUUGAUGCAUCUUUUUCUUUUUGGUUUUACUUUUUGAGAGAGAGAAAGGAUCCAUUAGAGCCCAAAUACAUUAAAACAUAUCCUCUCAAAGUGAAGAAGAGGGGUAGAGAUAAAAGAAAGAAAAUAAAAAGAAAAAUUACAGAAGCAGCAGGAUAGCACUAAGAAGUGUUAAUAGACGGAAAGAUUCAGAUUAGAGAUUCUCUGCAAAAGAAAAAGAUCUAAUAUAGAGAGGACAAAUUAAUUCAUCACGAUUCUUCUAGAAAAUAAAUCCGCCCCAAUCCUUUAAGAAGACAUAUACUUUGUCAAGGAGAGCAUGUUGCCGCUAAGUUUGUUUAUAGAAGACUUCCCUCCAACCAAAUGCACGAAAUUAUAGAAGACGUAUUAGCACCCAAAUUAGAAGUUAAAUCCUGCGAUAAGUUUUUGGUGAAAGCACAGUUAAACAUUAUAUAAUCACUUUUCUCCUCUUCUAGCACACGAAACAGCGAACCGCGGACCAAUCCAUCAAAAAUAAAUUUGUUCUUAGCUGCAAGACAUGCGAAAAUCAACACUUUGGCUGGGAGCUUUCACAGAGACUUUGUCAAAUAAGACAUCGCCCCCCAUAGUUAAAGAAUAUUGUAUAGGUCGCACUCAUGCAGGUGUUGUGUGAGGCACCGUUGUAUCAAAAAAUGCUCUUUGUCGUAAAUGUCCCCCGACUUUUCCAUUUCCAUUUGAUAAAAUCUUGUCCACUCAUCUAGCUAGUAUCUUGAAGGACCUCCCCAAGCUUCGAUCGAUGGCGUAUAUCUUGUUCACAGCAGGAUGGGGCCUACCGCCGUGAUAUCAUGGCUAUCCAUGCUUCCAUAUGCAUGCAUCAAAUAUGCCCACUACUAGUAUAUGCACAAUUAGCAAAGAUCGUAGCACAGCAGAAUUCAAAAAGAAUUUUUGAAUUCCCUAUAAUAUUAUAAGAAUACACAUUUGAUGACACAGUUUUCCUAAUAAAAUCAAGAAGAUGAGAAUUAUUUGAACAAUCUUGUAUCACCUGGAUUUUUCGUGGACUCAUAUUUAACCUGCAUUUGAUCAGUCGUUGUAAUUGUGCACUGUUGAACUCUUAGAUUUUGGAUGGUGGACCUGGCCUGAGAGCCUACACUGACGGAGGAACUUUGAUGCCACGUUUUAAAACGCGUUCCUACCAACAAGAGGAAAACAUACACCUCUGAAGUGAUACCUUUUCAAAGCUGGGGUUCAGUGACCUCAGCUAGAUUUCCUAGUUUUCUGGUCAUGGGAGUGUUUUUUCUUGCCCUCUUUUGCGGGUGUCGAUGAUCAACAUUAGAAACUGCUGGGCCAAAGUUCUUGGAGGUCUAUUGGUCAUCCUUUCAGCAUCAAGGAUUGUCUUAUUGGAUUCUUUUCCACACAAGACUAAAUAAAAAACAUCAAAUGAUGACCUCCACAUAGUUUUGCAAAGAUACCAAGGUUCUACAAGUUGGAAAUUUAGCAGCACAUAAUUAAUACUUGAGUCAUAUUCUCAAAUAGUUGUAGGUUUACUUGGUGAAACACGUGGUAAGACAAUAUCUUUUACCUAACCAAAUCUUUUCCAUUCUUAAUAUUUUAUUUGGAACCAGGAUCUGAGUUACCUUGUGGAAUAGCCAUAGCUUUACUUAGUGAAACGCCGUGUAAAACUAGUUUUUACCUAACCAAAUCUUUUCCAUUCUUAAUAUUUUAUUUGGAACUAGGAUCUGAGUUAUGUUGCGGAAUGGCUAUAGGUUUACUCGGUGAAGCAAUCUGUAAGAAAUUAUUUUUUACCUAAUCAAAUAUUUUCCAUUCUCAAUAUUUUAUUUGGAAUUAGGAUCCUCUACGGCGCACACUUUGCACUGCAAAGUAUUAUGUAGUGCUUGAUAGCUGCCAUCAGAAGAUUACAAUUAUAAAAGACAGACAAAGUUGGUAUGUCUAGAAAAAGCAAAAUAUAUCGUAUAUUAGUAAUCCGUAGCUAUAACCACAUCCGAUAAACAUAGUGAAAUCCUAGGUACAAAUCUAUAGGGAUGGAUAUUCCAGCCUCACAUAAUUUCGAGGUAUAGUGUGUACAUACAUGUAUUCGGAUCUCGCCUCACCUAUUUCUGAGCUAGUUGACAUCUAUCGAAAUGUUUCUACUUCAAAUCUAUAAGCGUAUUGAUCUAAAAUCCAUACCAAAUCUAUCAUAAAUUAUAGCCGCACGCGCUGGUUGCAACUCUGAUCCAAAAUCGACAUGUUGGAGACGGCCACGGUGAAGCUGCAGUUCAUCAUCACAUCCGCAUGGCGUUUGAUGAUCAGAAAAACCGUCGCCCUUCCGCCGACUUUGGUCGACGUGGUCAAGUCCAGCUUCCCGGCGGCCAGAUCGCCGAUCAGAUCCAGCGGAUCGGCCAGAAGCUGGUUGGCUAUCACGUCGACCGUCACCUUGAUCGGGAACGUCUUGUGGGCCCCCGCCGUCCCCGGGGGUCCAUAGCCCACCCCCAUCACCCGCUCCCGGUAGUAGACAUCGGUGGUGCUCUUCCCGAACCGGAAGGAGGCGGCGUUUGGGUUCUUGACGGAGGCGUCGGCGACCACCGUCAUGUUGAGGGAGACUGGGGAGGUGAGGGAGGAGCCGGUCUUGAAUUUGAGGUUUUUGAUGGAGAUGGAGUUCAUGGUUAUGACUGGUUCCUUGACCUUGUAGACGGUGAGGACGAUGAUAACGAGGACGAUGACGAUGACGGCGACGAGGGCGGUGCAGGAGCCGCAGCAGAUGAGGCAGCGACGGCGGCGGGAGGAGGGCCGACGGGUACUCGUGGUGGUGGGAUCCUCCUCAUCGCUCGUGGGGCGGUCGGCGGCGGCGGUGGCGAGGGGGGUGAUGUGGUCGCGGUCGGCGGACAUGGCGGCGGCGGGCGGUGGCGAAUGUUGGAAGGAACGGUGCGGUUUACUCGGUUUGAUGGGCUUUAUAGUGCUUGCGGAUUCGGGCUUUCGUUUUUUCCAUGGAGAAAAUGAUUUAAUAAUGGGUCGUACGAGUGCGGUUGGACCCGGCGGAGGUGACGGCUAAUGACGCUGCUGCGACCGCUAACGUCGUAGACUGGGAGUUAGCUACCGAGAAAUCUAGUCAAGUGAAAAAAUAAUCAUGCAUGUUGUACUUUAAGAUACACGCCAGAAAGAUGAUACCUAUGAGGCUCGUCACAGUUACAUGAGGUGUGCUCUUGACUUUUAUAACAUUUGUUGCCCAAACAGUUAAAAGAUGAUACCAAUGAGACUCGUCGCAGUUACAAAGGGCGUGCUCUUGACUUUUAUAACAUUUGUUGCCCAAACAGCAAAAUGAUCGUUCUCCAAAUUACUAAAAAAGAAUUGAAUCAAAACUUAUUAUUUAAGUGAAUAACCUAUUUUGGUUUGUGAAAUACACGAGGAUGAAAAUUUAAUAGGAGAAAUUAUAAAAAAAUUUCUACUUUCAUGACAAUAGUUAUAGUCUUUGGUUUGGAUGUUUGUAUAUAUAUUUGCUAACACCAUUAGCACACCAUUAUAAAAGAAAAUUCUUAACAAAAAUACCUUAUUUAAUAUCUUAUCAUCCUAGGAUUUUCCUCCUCCUCCGAUCUUUUUCAGCCUCCAAUGACUUUCUUCUGAGACUCUUCUUCCGAUCGUGUGGAGUCCUUCCAAGCGGGAAGAAGAACAUAUAUAUUUUGUAAUGCUCUUGGAUGGUUGUUAUGUCGCUUAAAUUUAUUUUGAUUAUUUCUGAAAUUUUUUCUAAUAUGGUUUUGGGAUUUCAUUUAAAGUUAAUAGUUUGACUAACUUGCUAUAAUUAAUAGCAUGAUUCAUACACACAUAUGUAUGUGUUUGAUCGCAAUUUUAAUUACUUAAUGAGAACUUUUUGAUACUUAUCAAUUUAACAACUUCAAAACUUCAUUUAUUUGUUAUUUAUUUAUAUUCACUACGUGUUGACAAAUUAUUUUCUUUUUUGGUUCCUCUGCCAUUUGAAAGAGAAGCCCGCUCUUGCGUACGCUAGGACUUACAUAUAUUGCCAAUAUUUCUUUUAUAAAAAAAAUAACUCGAACUAUUUAUGUUGCAUGAUAUGGGCGUCUAAGGCUCCAUGGAGAAGAUAUUAAGGGCAUAUUUGUUCUAUGGUAACUUUAUACUAUGAUGUAAUGAUCACAUGCCACCACUCUAUUAAAAAGAGAUAAACGAUAGGACAAUUUUGAAACAUUUUAGAGAUAUGAAGGGUAACUUUGAAAAUUUUUAAAGAUGAAGAGGUAUGCAUAAGAAUUGUCCAAACUUGAUAAGAUAAAUUGUAAUUUUCCUUUAGACUAUUGUGCGUAUGGUAAAAGGGCAAAAUCAUCCACCCUGCGGUGGAUGCAAAUGAAAAUAAUCCCCUAAAAUCGAUGAUUUUGAUGGAAGUGGAAUUAUGAGAGAAUUUUUUUCAUAAUUUUUAUUUUAAUUUUCUAUGCUAGAGCAUUCAAUUGGUUCUCCAGAAUUUUGAUUCUCAAUGUACUUAUUCGAAUCUUUAGUACUUAUUUGAAUCUUUCUUGUACUGAUAAUAUAUAUGCCAGAAGGCAAUGAAAUUUCCACACCUGAUGGCAAGAAACAAAGAGGCGGUAGAUUCAAACUCACCAUAUUUUGUGAUCAGAUCAUAAUAUAAUAUAGUAUCAUGCCAGUAAAUCCUUACAUUACCAUCUUAUACACUUACGAUUUUAAGAACAUAUACUUUGGGCAUUCAGGGUUGCUCAUUUCUAUAAAAAAAUGUAAUCAAGUGGCUGACUAGUUGGCUCAUUUGUAAGAGCUGAUGCCUUCGGUACUUCUUAGUUCAGAUCUUGUUCCCAACUGAUCAACAAAGGCCUUUAGUUUUAGACACAUCCGAGUUGCACCAAAUUGCACCAGAGAUCAUGUCAGGCCAUGAAUGAACUUUGCUAUUAGGUAGCUUUUUAAAACAAAUUGCACUGCAUACAUUCAUAAUCGAACAGCUUUUCUCUUGUUUAAUAACAAUUACAUAUAGAAGUAUCUUGUAAGCUAUUCUUGUUUUCUUGUUGCAGCCAUUUUGCCGCAAAGUAAAUCUUCCGGUGGGCCUGCACGCAAGGCAGAGUUUCGGCAAUUGGAAUUGCUGAGAAUCCACUUCUAGCAUCCCGUUAUGACCAUUUUUAAUCUUUUCAGUUUCCAGGUACUUGCAAAAUCUAUCUUUCUUUUUCAAAAGCAACCACUGAAGAAAUAAAAAAGAAAAACUUCUUUCUUUGCUGAAUUCUCCUGCAAUAUAAAUUUGCAUGGAAUAGAGACGAGAAAUUUUACAAGUGCAACUAUUUUUUUGGUUCGUCAGUGUCUGACAGGAUUUGUAGCAAUGGCAAGUUGGACGAUACCAAGUCCUAGCUGGUAGAUUAGCGUCGCACCUUGCGAAUUGCGAUAGAUAUGAUUAAUGGGGAAUCUAACUAAGUUUGUCGAAACAAACAUGAAGCUCGAGUAUAAGAUAAAUAAAUCUUAGAGCCAUCUAUCUGCAUAAAUUUCAACAGAACAUUCCCAACACAGCUUGUGUCAGCACUAAUGAAAUAGGGGUCUGCGACGAAGUGGUGAAAAGAGUUAAUAUGCGGUACUUUCGAUUUUGGAUUUGUGCAUGCAAUCAGGAUUCAUGUUUCGACCAAUGCCUCGUUCUGCAUGGGCCGUCGGACGGCAGCAGGAAGCUGAGGGAGAGGAUGCUGGCCGCCAAGGUGGCGGCCAAGGCUCGUUGCAGAAGGCAAUGAUGGAGUUGGUGAACGAGUGGGAGAGAAAAGAGUGGAUUCACUGAUGUUGUAGAAGAUUCGGUGCUAUAUAUACGGGGGAGUUUGGUUUCAUUUUAGUCACUCUUGCUAUGGAUUGAUCUUUUUUUGAGUAACUUGUAAUUGAUUGAUCCUUGCGUGCGCUUUCUGCUUGUCUUGUGAACCGUUAUGAAUGAGAUGACGUUUUGUGUUUGCAUUGCUAUGAAGUAAAUAGAUUCUUUUGUGUUAUUUCCUUCGAAAUCUUUUCUUUGAUCUGGAUGGAUUUAGGUAGGAGAGCCCAAAACGUCAUCUUUUAUCUGAAGAGAGAGCACAAAACGCCAAAAGGGGUUCCACUUCGUUUUUUUUUUAGUCAAAGAAAAGAAACCUCUUUCAACUUUCCUUCGGGCCCAAGAAAUAUAUGCUCCUCCACCAAGAGCUUGCUUUCUGGAGUCUCCGAGUUCCUUUAUGGACAAGUGUAAGAUUCAAAUCUUUGUGAUACCAUUUCCAUUAUCUUCCUAAUCACGGAGGCGUUUUAAAAGUGUAUUUUUUUUCUUAAAACCCCUUCCCCUUUAGGAUAAGAUCAAAAUGUGGAUUUAACCUUCCAAUUUGAAGAGCAAAACUACAAGGACUGAGCUUUACUUGUAGCUCCAUUCAUUAUGACUGGCUCACUUAAAUCUUACCCCCUUCUGCAGGAAAAAGACCAUUGCGUCGAAAAACUGGAAAUAUUUUCUCUCAGAUACAGAUAUAUUUUCCCAGCAAAACAAUGCUUGCAUUCGCAGCGAAUACUAGAGACCCAGUUUUGCUAGCAUAUUCAUCGAUUUCAUAAUCAUACAAAACCUUUUCCAAUCAAAUGUGGGAUCAGCAUAGAGAAAGAAAUCUAAUCCCACAAUGAAAGAAUCAAAGAGAUUUCAUGGCCAGCCAUCAACUGGACAACCCUCUGAAAAUUAAUACCGGAUACUCACCCAAGAAAAACAUAGACAAAAGAAGAGGCCUGUCUGUAAAACAAUCUGCUAAAGCAGAGAGAAAGAGAGAGAUAGAGGACGGACACCGCACUAUAUAUGGCAAAUGUAAAAGACAAGUACAGCAUCACAAAUAACAAUUUGGCCCACAAAAUUGCCCAAUUAAUUCACAGAGCCCUCCAACCAACCCAUUCAAGCUAAGAAUUGGAGGCACAUUUCUCUCCUCCAGUCAAACCAUUUGUAAGGCUACAUCUCUAUCCUGUCACCUGCUGAGAAGCUCAACCCAGACCCCAUCUAUGUAUUUCACAGCCUCUCAACAAGCAGCUCUGGCAUUGACUGUGUAUGUUAAAGAGUAGUUUACAAUCACACUCUCUUGCUUCUUCCCCUGUUCCAGUCUUUAAUAUAAGACCCUCGAAAGGUAACUGAUGAUGCCACUGUCGCUUUCCUAAGCUUCUGCCGAUUGUCCCAGCCCUUUUCGCCUUGAAUGGGGGUUGGCAUCAGAGAUGAAGGCCUGGUGGCAUAGCUAUGCAAUGGCCUUGUGCUGAUGGUGGGAUCUCUUUCCAGUUUGCUGGGAGAUGUAACACCUUCCAAAGGAACAGACCAUCUUACAGAUCCUCUGCCAGUAUUAUUCAUGUGGGUGAGAUCAUUUUUAUUUUCACUCAUCAUCUUAUGUUUCGCAGAUGGAAGGCCUGGACUUCCAACUGGAUCAUGAUGCCUACCCAUGAGAAAUGAAUUCUCUGUUUUAUCCAUGGAAGAUGUAGACUUGCGUGCCUUCAUGGGCUUCUGAGAAGGCGUCUUGGGCCAUUUCAUCCCCCCACUGUUGUGGCUUCGAAUCUUGAGGACAUUGGAACGGCGUCCCAUUUCACAUAGUAUUUCAGCAGCAAGCAGUACCCUCGGUGAGUAGCCUAUUUAAUUGACAAAUAUAUUGUAGAGGUCAGAAUGGGUGAGGAGAAUUGCCACAACAGAGUAAAAAUAAUUUCGUCAGAGAAACAAAGGGAAAAAAGGAUUCUGGACGGAAAAGAUAGCAGAUAAGAGUAGCAUAUGCUGCACUCCUGAUAGGAAAAGAAAAGAAGCACAGAAGAAAAGAAGCAAAUAAUUUCAAUUAGCUAUAAGCCUAAAACAAUACAUUCAUGCAUGCAUUCAUAAAGGCCAUAAAUAUCAAGGGGUCCAAUUAUAAAACUCGAGCUAUAAAUCAUCAAGCUUGAUCCAGAAGAUGACUAUUUUUUAUCACCAGAGGUUAGACCUUUUUUACAAUAGGUUCUAGAGAUGGGACAGGUCUUGAAUAUUUUAAUUGAAUAUAUUUCACAAUUGUCUGAGUGGAGUCAGUCUAUAGAAUUUCGAGAUGAGCUCACCUCAAUCAAAAUUCAAGGUUUGUAUGACAUUGAUUUACAAAAGAAUUCUUAUCAAGGAUGCAAUAAAACAAGUGGAACCAACAAGAACUUGGCCCAAAAUUUUCUUUUCAACUUUACUUCCGCCAAAGUUGUUUUGGUGGCCGUGGCCAGAUAUUUCUGAUAAAUAGAUCCAAACCAAAUCUGUCCAUACAUUUGCUCUGGUGCCCUCAAAGUAGGCAGUUCGAUGGAGCUAAUUCACCUGGCAAACAUAAACCAUUUUGUACUAUUUAUUGUGUAUAUUCCAGUCUUCUAUAAAAGAAUGCAAAAAAAAUCUGGAAUUUGCUCCGCCGACUGUUAUUUCUCUCUCCUCUUAGCUGCUAAUCUCCAUGAAACAAACUUGGUUGUUCUUGUGGACUCUCACGCUACAUCACAAGAUCUAAAUGUCACUGCUCCUGAACUCCCCUGCUUAGUGCCACAUUAAUUUUGAAUAAAAAAACAUAUGCCAUUAAGAUCGUACAUUUCAAAGGUAUAUUGACCUGACUAUAGGUAGACCUUGUAGCAUGUGAAAGUAUAAAAUAACUAUACAUCAGGUGAUCAUGUACUGAAUCCACAAAAUAGCAACCUUUCUCUACAUAUGUAAAUGUUGUGGGCCAUGAAAAGCCCUCAAAGCUAUUCUUAACUCCUAACUAUGAUGCUUCCUAUUGUGAGCUACUAUCUAUAGAAUUAGUAAAAGGGAUCAAAACAACACCAGACAUAUUCAAGGUACAUGUAUUUUUUAGCUUAAGCAAGUGUUUUUAGACUCAUCCUUCCCAAGGAAAAAAAAAUGGCGAUGGCCAUUCCUUUAUGUGUAUGUUUGUUUAAAAUCAGAAUGUUACCAGCUAGAAGGAAGAAGACAAUAUGAAGGAAAUCCACAUAAACAUUAGAACCACCCAAAGCUCCAAAAGCUAUGGAUGGAGUCUGCCAUCUCAUUGGCUAUCCUUUUGAAACUCAACCAAGGGGUUUUUGUUGAAAAUCAGUAUUCUACCAGCUAAAAGAAGAAGAUGAUAAGAAGGAAAACCACAUAAACAGCAGCACUACACAAAGCACCCAAAGGGAUUGCCCCUUAUCUCUAAUGAUGUCCUGAGCCAAACGAGCAAGGGUAGCCUCCUAGUCAGACACAAUUGUUGUGCCUGUAUCAUUCUAGAGAGAGGAGUAACUGUUGAUCACAAGAUACAAUAAAGCUCCUACCAUCGCUUAUUCAUGGUUGCGAAAACCCUCUUUAUCUUCUUUUAAUAUUUCUUUUUGAGUUAUCUAUUUUCUAUCAGAGUUUCAUCACCUCAAUCACCAGGCUUAUCUUCCUAAACCUAAUCAAAUGCAGUUUAGGUUUCUUCAUCACUUAAAUAGGCCUCAAACAGGAUGAACGAGUAACUGCAAGAUUUGCUUAAGAGGCAAAAAUUUGACCUCUGCUAUUUCUUUGCACAUUCCAUCUAUCAUCAUGUUGUCGGAUGCUUCAGCAUCUAUGAAAACUCCCUGGACAAUAAAUGGAUAUUUGGACUUCAUGAUCCAUUAUGCAAUUCUCCAUAAAGUCCUCAGCAUAUGACAAAGUAAGCAUUUUUGACUUCCAUUAGUCAUGUUUUAUGAAAUUCAAAUUCCAUACAGGAAAAACUGCUCCAGUUUAUAAUCAUGCAAAGGAUUCCAUAUAGCAUUGCUAUCACCUUUACAUUUUUGCUAAGCUUCUCAAUCCAUGCUUAAUAGAAUCAAAUAUACUAUUAAAAUUAUAAAAGAAACACAGAAAUACCUUAAGGAUCUACAACUAUCAAACAACAGCUGCAGUAAUAACUCAACUACAUAAUAAUCAAAUAACUUCUCGUGGUACCUUUUCCCCUCACCUCUGAUAUUAUAAAAAAAAUACAAUUGAUUCAUAAAUUAAAAUAUUCGAAAAUUAAACUUAUCAAGACAGCCCUAACACAAGAUUUCCUAAUACUAAAUACUCUAACUCAAAGUAAAUUUAGGAUUUCCAUCUCCUGUAUCAAUCAAAGAGCUCUAAAGUCUCAAAAAAUUAUUCUACCUUAGGAUCUUCUUUUAUGAAACCCCAAAAAAAAUAAUUCUUCAAGCGUUUCUAAAUGAAUACCAGGUGAUUUGCCUCAACAAAAAGAAGGAUCAUAUAUUGAUUAACCUUUCUGAGAGAGUGAUCAGUAAUUCUCCAUGUAUGAGCAGACAUAAACUCCCAGUAAUAUUUCAGGUACUCUCAUAACAUGAGAUAAUUGCCACAUUCAACCAUGUAAUCUGGAACUACCUGACAUGUACAUGGUAGUGCGUGCAUGCAUGCAUGCACAGAUGAUAGAGGCAUGCAUAGAAGUGGGCUUCUAGCGCAAACCAAUGUUUGUAAUGCUUUUUUUUUCCGUCUUGCAAUGAAAUACACAAGGCACCUGUCUUAGAUACUCUUAAAACAUCCUCCAUGAAACAGAAGCGGGCAAAACUGCAUUGGUUGUCAGCUCUCUCUUUUAUGACCAGUAAAAAAAGUAUUUUAAAAGUAUAUACAAUGCAAAACUAAAAAAGACAUCUGAAAACAGAAAGCAUUCCAUCACAGAGCUAAAAUAUGUCAAAAUCAUUCCACAUUCCAUUAGAGGAAAAAGAAAUCACAUUCUAGAUGGACAGGAUUAACUUUCAAUAAACAUAAACUGUUUCCAUAAUGGCUUUGCAAAUCCUAUAUUUUCUGCAUAUACAGAUAGGAAAUCACAAUCCCCAUGUUUAAAUCACACAAAUCACAUAUAAAUUAUUUGUGCAUUUCAUUGAACCUAACAUUCAGGAACAACAAAUUGAAUUCUUACUUCAUGAAAACGCAUACAUCAAACUCCACAAUUAUGUAUUCUCUACAACAUAACUACUCAACAGAUAAUGAUGUGUCUUGAUGUACAAAUAUUUACUAGAACAAUCCAAAAGACAACAAUAAGCUGUUAUUUUUUCUUCUCACAUAUAGUAGGAUAAGUAUGAUGAAUGCCAUUUCCUAAUUUAUCAGCUUCAACUACGGCAUAAUGCUAAAAAUAAAAUACCAUUAAGCUUCGAGUAUGCAUGUAUAUACUAUGCUAGCAAAUUAUGUUCAAAGAUGAGAUGGAAAAUAUUAAAUCUGUCACUGGUAUCAACUUUUCUUUGGAAACAAAGAACCGAUAACCUGAGAAGCAAACAAGAUAUAUGCCUUUCAGGUAUGGCAUGGCUCCAGUAAUGCAUGUUGAAUUUUAGCAUAUUACCUGGUUUAGAUAUCUUUGGUGUAAGAAAAUACCGUGAACUCUGAUCACAUCCACCAGAAGUGCUUUUACAGGAGUAGCAAGAGCAAUUUUCUGAACAACCAUGUCUGCCCACUGUAUCCUGUGCUUUCUGGGUGACUUCAUUGUCCUCAAAUUGCAAAGUAGACUGUGAUGGAUCCGCUAAGUUCGGUUCAAGUCCUUUAAACCUCUGACAGACUUCAGAUUCAGAAGUUUUCAAGAACACACUAUCUUUAUAGUCAAAUUCCAGAUGGCUAUCUGAAGAUUUGACGUGCUCCUCCAUUAAAUUACACCUUUUAGAAAUAAAUGAAUCAGAAACACCAGAUUCUUUCUUCAAAACAACACUGUUCGAAAUAUGAGCUUCUGGAGAAAUUGGCAUAGUGCAUAAUGGCUUGACAGAUGUUGUCAGGGUGUUCACAUCUUGAAGAAGAUCAUCAAUCUUUUGCUGGAUUAUAGGAUCUUCAUUGUGGUUAAAUGACUUCAAUUCCAUUUCAGAGAAGCAACUCUGAUCAUCUCCAAAGGAAGUGGAAUUGCUUCCUAUUCUAACCCAUUUACCUUGGGAUGUGCUCUUUGUUGAAGCCACUUUACCAACAUCGACACUGGGUUUGCAAGCUCCAUUGUGGCAAAAAGACCAUUGAAAAGGUGGCAAGCUGGCAUGACAAAAAGUUGUCAUGUGCAUAGCAGACACCAAAAGAGCAUCCAAAUCCUGAGCUGGAGGAAAUGUUAACUGCUUUAAAAUGUCUUUAGGCUGGUAUAAAGUGGAGAGAUUCAAGUUCAACUGACCAGGAUCCUGGUGAGAAGUGUAAAUAAAUAAUUAAAAGAUGCUCUGCUUAUUUAAUAUUUAUAUUUAUAUGAGAAAAUAACACAAAUUGUAGACUUACCUUGUUACAAGGUACUGAUUCAUCAAUGCCCUUAUCCUUGUUAUCACAUUCAGACAAGUUCAGUGAAGCGCAAUUAGGUUUCAAGAGGUUUAUAACAGCUUUUCCAUUGCCACUGUUACCAACUGCACCCUGGAGUGGAAGGAUAGAGCAAGCCUUUCUAACUGAGGCUAAAAUAGUUUCAUCAACAUUGGGGGCUCUCUUUCCUUUUUCAGGACAUAAGUUAGAGUAUUUGUAACUACUGUCAAGAAGUUCAUUCAAUGACAGAUCAUCCAUAUACUUUGUAACAUCACGGAGAUCUGACUUGAGACCAUUUAUUCCUAAUUUGAAAUGGUAAGAUAUAAUUAUAAAUCUGUGUAAGUACAAAACUAAAUUGCUUAUGAAACCUAAUAAUCAAUAUAAGCAAAGACAAUCUUGCUAUUGCCUUGGUGAUUCUAGGAAGGUACCAACUGCAGCAAUAUUGAUUUGCCAGAUGUCUUGUUUUACCGGGGUUAAAUUCACAUCAUAAAUCCAUUAUUUCAUAUGCAAAAUCCUAAGUCGUUUCGUAGUAUAGAAUCCAAAGAAUCAAAAGACAACCAAUAUUAGGUUUGACUUCUGAAAGUAUAUGCAUGCGUAUAUGUCUCUCUCUCAGUGUGUGUGUGUGAGAGAGAGAAAGAGUCUAAAGAUUUUCUUUGAACAAAUAACCAAAAUUUUGAAAGAAAGAAAAAAAAAUAAUGGAGGUGGAAAAAGGCCAUCAAGGCAAAAUAUAUGGGAACCUAUAUUACACAUUGGGUUCAAAAAGAGAUGAAAGCAGCUUUGCCAAAGUCUAUCCAUGAAAUAAAAAAUUGUGAUAACAUAAUAUGAUUAAAGGAAUAUCAUGACAGCCAGCUAUGAAUAAAUGUACAAUAGAAACUGGAUCAACUACCAUAGUCAAACUUAUGUGACACACUAUGGAGUCAACAGAAGAUCAUAUAAGAGCAACAGCUAUAAAGGGCACAGUUAAUUGGGUAUUAUUAAGAGUACAUGUAUAUGUGUGUUUACAUACAUAUAUGCAUAGUGUAUGUGUGUGUGCACAUACAUAUAUACAUAUAUAUAGUUAGACUCAAGGUAUGCCACACCGUACCGAAAGGGACGGUUUGGGAUGUACCGUACCGUACUAGUAAAUGGUGCAAGGGGCGUAUCGACACUUGGUGUGCAAAAACAGCUCCCAUACCGACACAAUAAUAGGGUGGCACCGGUGAGAAGCCCAGUGCCGAGAUGGUGUACCUUGGCUGGACUACACAUCUUGCACUAACUCCUCAAAAAAGGAGUUAACAAUUUUAAAAUUAAACAUAGGUGAUCCAAUUUGAAGAUUCAAACCGUUGAAUAUGCUCUACACUAUAAAAAAUGAUUGUAAACUAAAAUUCAUAUAUAUUUGGUGGUUUCUAAUGCAUGCAUCAAGUUAGUACAAAAAUGAAUGAUAGAAAUUACACUAUUGUGAUAAAAUACAUAACAGGGCACAUGAAUUGAAACUCUACAUUAUGGAUCAUGAUCUACACAUCUUAAAACAUGGAUAGAUUUAAAUUCACUGGGUUUUGAUAAUUAGGUCAUAGCAAGCAUAGUAUUAUGCUAAUAAAGUUAUCCAUCUAACACCCACUUGACUAGGUUAGAAAACACCAAACUCAUACAUUUUGGUUUCUAGGAAUUUUUAUAGUAUAAAUCAAGAAAAGCGAAACCAUCCCGAAUUGCCUGCUUUGAGGCAUACUGAGCCUUGCGGCGGUGGACUAGGAUGGUUCUGGCAAUGAAAUUGAGAAAUGGGUGAAGGAGGGGGAGAGGGAGAAGGAAGGAGAGGAAAAGAGAGGGGGUGGAGGGGAGAGGGAAGAAGAGAGAGGGAGGGUGGUGGACGGCCGGUGGAGGGCCACGGAGGACAGAGGAGCCGCGUAAGGGGUGGAGAAGGGACUCAACCUCCGGUUCUCCUGUUUCAUUUGAAACAAGGGUCCCAGAGGGGGGACCUUUUUAUUUUCAAAAAAUUUAAAUAAAAUCAGCAACCUCCUUUGCCCCUCCGCGCGGCUCCCCAGCCCUUAUUUGGACAUUUGCCACUUUCCUCUCUANNNNNNNNNNCCUCUCCUUCUCCUCCCUCCUCCCCCCUCCUCUCUCUCUCUCUCUUUCUCUCCUGUUGUCCCUCUCCCCUACCCUCUUUUCCAUGUCAGGGCACACUCCACCGGUCUUCUCCCUCUAUCUCCCUCCCUUCAUCCCUCUCCCUCUAUCUCUUUCCCCUUUCUCUCUCUUUUCCCCUCCCAUUCUCCCUCUCCCCCCCCUCCCCUAAUGUGUUGGUACAAACCCGGCAUAGAAUGUCACGAGAGGGUACCGAAGCAUGCCACCAAGCAACUUAUCUGAACCCUGGUGCCGGCAUAGCGAUCCUUAGUAUAGAUCAUAUUCAACUCUUUAGAUCUUGAAUGUGGAGAGUCCAUCAUAUAUAUACAUGCAAACAUACAUACAUACAUAUAUACAUAUGCAUAUAUAUGUAUAUACUGCAACUAUCAAUAUGAAGGAGCAACGGGUGUCGUGGAUACCACAAGACAAGCAAGUUCCUAGAAAAAAAAACUUCUCGUUGAUGAUAAGAGCCAUGCCAUGGCAUAAGCAAUUUGCAGAGGGUGUAGGGUUAAAGAUGAGUCGAGAAUAUGGAUGACAGCAAAUUGAUAUGAUGAGGGAAAGUUUUGGAGGAUCCAGCCAAAUACCGAUAAAAUUAGAAAUCAGAAUAUGCUAUACGAUUUUCGUGGAGACAACUCACAACUUAGCAAAAUUACAAGUAAUAUCCGACUGAUAUAAUUUGUGUGAUGAUAGAUUAUCAUACAAAAGAAGGAUUGCAUGGAUGGCAUACAGAGAUGCUUCUGAGAGUUGUGUGAUCAUUGAAUGCCUGAGGUUACAAGGGAAAUUUAUUACUUUUUAAAAAAGGGUCAAAAAUGAGUACUUAACAAGAAGAAAGAUUUGUAACGGUGUAGGAUAAAGUGGAAAGAAUGGAAUGAGUUGAUAUCACCACGUGCUGGACAAUGAGCACAUUUGGAUUUCGCCUUAAGCAAGGAAAGUGGGAAAAGACCAUAAUAAUGUUAGUAGUACACUAAUAGGAGCUAAAUCUCAAUAUCAUGAAAAUCAGGGUCGGCAGAACCAUCCCAAACUGGGUAGUUCCAUCGUACCGAGUCGUCCUGCCGGCGGACCGGGACGGUUCUAACAACGGAAAUGAAAUCCAUCGCUGGAGGGGGAGAUGGAGAAGAACAAAGAGAAAAGAGAGAGCGAGUAGGGGAGGAGGGAGAUGGAGAGGAAGGAAGAGAGAGAGAAAGGUGGAGGUCGGCCGAUAGAGGGCCGGCGGAGGCCGGCGAGUUGAGCGGAGGCUGGCGAGUCGUGCAGAGGCCGGCGAGCCAAGCUCCGCGGCCGGUUCCUUUGUUUCGUUCGAAACAGGGGACCCAACUGUGGAGCCCUCCUCCGCCUCCCCUGCUCAAGUCGCCGACCUCCGUCGACCCUCCACCGGCCUCCGCCACCCUCCUUCUCUCUCUUUUUCUCGCUUCCGUUCACCCUCGCCCAUGCCUUCUCUAAUGUGUCAGUACAGGGCCGGCACGGAAUACGAUCACUGUACCACCGGGCAACCAGUCUGGGCCCCAGUUCCAGCACAGCAGACCCUAGUGACAACAUAUUUAGAAACACAACCAUAUUUGGAAAAACAUGGGGAUACACUUGUCAGGUCAUAGCAAAAAGAUAAUGAAUAUUGCAGUUCUUAAAAUAUUUAGUAGCAGAACUUAUAUUGAUCAUCCGUUUAUUCAACAUGUUAUAUUCAAUACCCGGUAAGUUUCCUUAUCACUGAAGACUAACAUUACGUGAAUGCGAUGAAGGGCAAGAGGGUGAUAUCAAGAGACAAAAUAAAGCAAUGGUCAUAAUAUAUGAUCAAGAUUAGGUCAGCCAAUGGGUUGUCCUAGCCCGACAUUGUGACCCUGAAACAACCAAACUCGAUCUCAAGUUUUAUGGACGUGGGCCAGGCUCGGCCUCAAAAUGAGGCUUGAUCAAUUUUUGGUCAGGGCCUGCACCGAAGAUAAUGUUAAAAAUUAUAUAUGGGCUGGUUCUGAGCCUGACCCAGCUUGAAAGCAUAUAUUGAGUUGGGUCAAGCUUGGGCCUCAUACUUUCAGGCCAGAUCCGGGCUGAGCUGAGCUUGGUGCGAGCCUAGGGUUCAAACCUUCGGCUUGCUUCGGGCCUAGGCCCCGUUGACACCCUUAUAAAAUAAAACAAAGAGCAAAGUAAUUUCUUCAGCAAAAUGAGAUUUACAUCAGAACAACUAAAACUCUUUGAAGCCCACCACAGGCUACAAACAACUUUUUUCAAGAAAGGAAACUUGGAGAUUAAAAAAAAAAUCAUCUUUAAAAGAUGUGCAAGAAAUUGUUUGCCUGCUUAUCAAUUAUUAAAAGUAAAGCAAUUCAACCACUAGAUGCAUCCAGAAAUAAACAUAUCUUCACUCUUAAAUUUUAAAGACUUAAAUGAUUUUGCUUCCUUCCAUGUGAAAAAGCCCUUGUUAUCAAGACAAAUAACGUACAGAAGUACAUGUCCAAAAGAACCAUAUGAGCCACCAAAUUGAAUAGCUUUUCCAGAAGGUUCUCUGGAAGAAAAUUAUUUAAUUUAUACACACACACACAUAUAUACAUGUAUGCAUGCAUGUGAGUGGGCCUUUCUGUAUAGAUGCAUGCAUGCAAGCAUGCACAAGUAGACACAUGCACAUGCACAUGCACGUGCACAUGCUAAUGGAAAAGGAAAACAUACAUAAAAGAAACAUCAGAAAAAAGUUAUUCGGCAUAUUUAUUGCAUACCAAGAAUGUUGUUUCCUCCAGAAGCCGAAUCACAGUUGGUUAACCCAGCCUUUGUUGUAAAAUAAUCAUAUUUACUUUUCAAACCGCCUCUAAAAUUCUUUUUAUCCAUUUUCUUUCCAUCAUGACCACGCUUCUGCUUGACCAUCCGGGAUUUAUCUGCAUAGUCAAAUGAAAAAUCAAGAUUCAACACUGUCAGCCAUUACAAACAUCAUCCUGUUCUUUAGACUAUCUAAUAAUGCUAAGAAAUGCAAAGGCAUACACCAUAAGGAAAUUAAAACCAAAAGUGGUGUCCUUUUUACCAGUGGAAGUGCAUCGCAUGCUGUCAGAUCCAAUUGUCCUCGAUAUAUUAUUCUGGUCAUCAACUCCAGAAUUUGUCACAGAAUUUUCAGGUUGAUCUAUUCUUGGUCGCUUAGACCCAGGAAAAGUAUUCAACUUUUUUACAGAUUUCUUGUUCAAUGAUCUGCCCUCAUACUUGGGUAGUGAUAGGACAGACACAUCUGCCUCCCCAAGGUGAUGCCUUUUACCAUUACCUUCACAUUUGGAACUGGGAGGCAUAUUUUCAUGCAUACAAAGUUCCGAGUCAAGCUUUUUGUUUCUGGAAACUGAACUGAAUUCCGAAAUUGGAUGUUGAAGUUUGGCAUCUGGCAUGCAUAUAAUGUGUUCCAAAUCAGUUAACAAGAACAUAAUACAUUCUUGUGCUUAAAAUACAAAAUAUGAGGAUAUGGUUAUCCACUUAUCCCAGUAUCAAGACUUAUACAAUCAGAAAAGAAGAUUUGCGAAAUAAAAGCAGUAGAAACAUCAGACACUCAUGUUUAGACAACUGCCAGAAAAAAAUUAAAAAAAAUGGCCUUGAGCAUCAAUAACUUAUCGCAUACCAAUACUUUCUAACCUAAAUAUAGAUACCAAGAUUCAAACAAACAAAAAGUAGAACCUUUAGUUAUAUACACAGAUAGCAAUGCAAAAGUACAUAUGUUGAAAGUAUAUCUUCUGGAUAUCUGGAGCACAAGAGCAUGUAAAGAUACUUGAAAAGUUGCACAAUUAUGAUUAUUGAAUAUCAGUCAUAAUUCUUCAGAAUCCUGCUUGGUAGGUCGUUAGGAAGAAAAUCUGAAACUAUAUAGCUUGAUAAACUUCAUUACUGUAUGAUGAUAAUGCUCAGAAUAAAAAUGUAAAACAAAAGAAAAGGAAAGCAUAUGAACAACAAAAGCGAUGAGACAAGGAUUGAAAUGAGAAAAGAUGUCAUCUAACCAAGUGACCAUUUUUCUUUUUUCCCCCCACUCCCCUGGACUUAUAGAUGUGAAGUAAAAUGAAGGGCCAAGCACGUAGACAUGUAUAAAUAUAAGUCUGUACAAACAUGCAUAUACUGCGUACAAAUAUGAUAAUAACAGAUACCACCACAAGAACCAUGAGGAAAUAGCAAGGGACCAAUGCCAAAGUAGCCGUUACGCAGCAGAUCUGACAGAAAGUUUUCUUUCAGUCAAACUGACAACAUGACAUGAAUACCACUACCCUUUGGCUUACAAGACGCCACUCCAUGGAUUUCCAAGAAAUUCCACCAGAAGUAGUAGAUCCCUAACUAAGAAAUUACACCCUGUUCUCCAGAACCAAAAACUAACAACAAACAAAAGCAAGAAGAGAUGAACCCCAUGGCCUUCCAAUAAUUUCCACCAGAAGAUUGUAAAAUCAAUCUCUAACUAAGUAAUCACACCCAGUUUUCUGGACUCAAAACAACAUACAUAAAAAGCAAGAAUAUGUGAACCCCUCAAUUCCUGACAACCAAAACCCUAGCCUUGAGGAACAACAUUAUUACAUGGGUACAGCAUCCAUUUAUCAAGACACCUAAAAUGCGACCUACCGUCCACCCAUAUAUCCAUCAACCCCUCCAAGAAGCAACAGAUCAGGAAAAAUGACCCUCGAUCCAUGUAAAAAAUCGAAUAUUCAUCCCUUAUAAGGUCUAAAAAUCCAAUAUUUAUUCCGUCUAAGGUGUUAAAAUCGAAUCUUUAUCCCAUCAAAGGGCAAAAAUGUUACCGCAACGAUAAGGGCUGCAACCAGAAAGCUUGUGACUUCCGAAAACACGAGCAUCGGCGCCGUCAGAGCCCCUAUUCUCCGGCUCCCCAACCCUCCCGAAACCCUCGGUGGCCAAGAGCUUCGAUACUGCAACAACAUUCGCCGGCAGGGACAACUCCACCGCGUCCAUCCGCCACGGAAAGAGCGCUCUGCGCCCUAGAUAACCAAGAAAGUCUCUAUCUUUCCCGAUCCGAAGCACCUCUCACUGCUCAACCUGCGCAUCCCCUUCGAAGGCUUCCAUCGCGCAUCGAUCUCCACGCCAGAAAGAACAAGCACAUGGAAAGAGAGGAGAGAGAGAGAAAGGGUGGAAAGGCGAUGGGACGGCGGAGGAGAGAGGCGUAGGGAGGAGAGGCGGGGGAAAGAAGGGGGAUGCGUAUUUUAGGGCAGGGAGGAGGAGAGGAGAAAGGUAUAUAUAGUUUUCGGAAAAAUCCAAAAGCUCGCCGUCACGCCGGAAUAUUCCGGCAAGUAGGCAGUCGGGACUUGGGAGGAGGGGUUUGGUGUACCACUGUCGCGUGGGAUUUGUACUUCUCUGCUCCUAUUUUCCUCCGUUGGUGGCCGUGUUGGCGUGGGCGAGGCUUUACACGUGUCCUCAUGCACCAGUAACCCUAGGCGACAACAUUUGGCGUUCCUCAGAAAUAUGGGUAACGGUGUGAUCUUAUUUCCCGGUUAUCUACUUUUGUGUUCGCUGCGCCGCUCCUUAGUACGGUUCUUUCUUUUUUUGGUGCAGGGCUUAAAUCGAAUCGGCCCAUGUUAAUAUUUUCAUAUUUAUAUUUUUUUUGGACAAAUAUGUAUAUUAAUUAGAUAUAAAAAUUUAUAUUUAUAUUUAUUUUAAAUGAAUGUAAAGAUACCGAAAAUAUGAUAUAAAUAUUGAUGUAAGCCAGAUAAUUAAAUUUUAUAACUAUAAAAUUAAAAAUAUUACUAAACGAAUGAUAAACCAAAUUAAUAGCAUAUUAAUAUGAUCAUUUAUUUUUAAAAAAUUUAUAAGUACUAUAUAAAAUUAAAUAAAGCUAAAAAUAGAAUCAAAUAUUUAGAUGCCAAUCGAAUAAUUGUCUAUCUAUACCUAUAUCUAUGUUUCUUUGAUAGAUAUGGAUAGAAAUAUAAUAUUAGUCGGAUGCUCAAAUUUCUUUCAUACCUAAAUAGAUUCGAAUAUAAAAAUGGAUUUAGAUAGGUUCAUCUCUAUAAAUAGAUUGAAAUGUAUAUGAUAGGCUUGAUUGAGCAUGAAUGUCUAGAUCAAUAAUUUGAUCAUGAGUGGCACAAAUCCACUUUAAAUGGUAAUAUGGAUAACACUUUUUAUAAAUCCAUUUAAGAUUUCUGGGAAGGAGAGAUAUACCCACGAUGUGAAAGGUGGUGGAUUUCAAAUUUCAACCCUGGCACAUUUGGAACGAUGAAGCUUUAUAAAUUUACAAUUUUUAACAUUUCGUAAAUCUCAAAAAUGUUGUUUGAUAUAUUCUACCAGAUCUUUUUGACCCCUUCAUUCCUUCGUUGAAUUCUUACUUUUUGGAAAACGUUAUAUUGAUAUGAUGGUAAAAAUAUUGUUGUAUCCAGGCAAAAUUAAAAGAAAUUAGAAAUGAAAAAUGUAUACUAUUUAAAUAACAGAUGCCUACUUGAGCCAGUGGAGAUGAGCAAAUCUAGGAACUAUGUAAAAGCAAAUCUGGAGUUUAUCAUGAGUGAAUGGCGAAAUUCACAAAAUUCAAACCUUGAUUUAAGGACCCAUCAGUUGCAAAAUUUCUGGAUUUAAGGGUGGUUGAAGAUAUUCGAUGAUAUCUGUUAGGUUUCAAUAGUUUGCUAGUACUGGAAAUGUAGAUUCAUGGCACCAUGAACAAGGACACCCAUGCAGAGACUAUCCAUGCAAGUUUAGAUCAUCGACUUUUGACAGCUCGGAACAUCUGGGGGCCCCAUAUUGCUUCGGUAGCUCCUCACACGAUUUUCUUUACCUGGAAGCCUCCACCUCCGAGUUUCCUUAAGGUCAAUUUUGACGGCUUUUUUCUGAAUGGUGGUAGGAGGGGAAGGGCCAGUUUUGUCAUCAGAGGCCCGACUUCAAGUGUGGUGGCAGCGGGGGGUAUCAGCUCUUCGACACCUCGGUUUCAGGCGCAGAGUUACGAGCGGCUUAGAUGAAAGUGAGUUAUGUGCGACAUGUGCUGUAGACGACUUUCAUCCUUUUGGAGGGAGAUUCGGCUACGGUGAUCAGCUGGGUCUGGAGGGGCCCAUACAGUGAUAGAGGAGUUCAUCCCUUGCUCCGUGAUAUUUGGUUGAUGGUGAGGAAGGCUGUCACAUUUCAAGCUGUGCAUGUAUAUCGUGAGGCUAAUGGAGCCGCGGACUGGAUGGCGGCAUUUAUAGUGCGCCACUCAGGAGGCGCCCUAUGAGUUAGAAAUGAUGAAAUGCUUGAUGUAUUUCGAGAUCUUUUGUUUGCCAUUUUGCUGGGUGUAUUCAUACCCGCUAUGAUACACCUAUUUUAGCAAAAAAAACAAGGACGCCCACAUUGCGUUAUUAAUGAACGUGGUCUGAUUCGUGGAGAAUUUUAUAGGUAAUGGAACCUUCUGACAUCAAGGCCUUUCUUUUCUUUCUCCUCUUCUUCUUUCUUUUCUCUUUUUUUUGGUAUGGCCGGGGGCGACUUGAAUCUGUUCUCUAAUGAACAAAUGCAAUAAUAACCACAACUUUAAAAUUUUAUCUGAACAGGGUGUUCACAGUCCUGGCCUCCCGUCCCUGGAUGACUGUAAAAUAAAAAAGAAAAAGGAAGGCAAUCAUUGGCUAAAAACUAAUAAAUUGUUUUUUUGAAAAAAAAACAGAAUAGACCUGCAGUCCUCACACCAAUGUAGAAAAACCUAGGAUCAGUUAUUUUUGACAGCAGUUGCUAAAUAUGCACCUUUACCAAAUCUAGAACAUACGAGAUAAGUGAUGACCUUGAAGUGAUCACUUCACAAGGCCACGAAGUAGCUGGACUUGCAAGAUAUUUAGACAAUUAGUGAAAUUUAAGGAAAGAAAGCAACCUCAAAUGACCAAAAAAUCUAUAAACAACAAAUUACCAUACUAGUUUUCUGCAGCAACUCUAACAUAACGGAAUUGUAAUUAAAAAAAAAACAAAGCAAUUCAAACAUGAAGGUACGAAGAACUCCUCAGAAUUGGUUCUGUGUAAUUCAGUACAAAAUAAAAUAGAAUAAAAUAAAGCAAAGCCCUCAGACAAGUCAUCUAUCCAAAUUCUUCCAUCUCGGACAAGCCAAUGGCUUUUAUUAUAUCUAAACAUGCUACACUUUGCACAAUUAGAGUAACUUAUGAGCUCAUACUCCUGAAUAUAGUAUUCAGAAACCAAGCAACAAGAAAGAUUUUCUUAUACGAGUGAGGCACAUCUGGAUAUCACCAGGUAGAAUAAGAGCAGCCAAGAAUGUAAACGUCUCCAUGUUCCAGGCUUUCAGGAUAUCCAGAGUCAUAGGUAUGUACAGAAACUUCUAUAAGCCGUGGUUCUCUGGUUGCAGCAAAGGAUCUUUCCUAGAUGAUAGCAGUUCUGACAGCAAACCCUGCAGAUAUGACAACUCAUAAAUGACUUGAACAUUCCGAUGGCUAGCACAAGUUUAGCAUGCACUAGUCAAAUAUUAAGGUUGUACAAUAAAUAAAUGCAAACAACAACAAUUGACUUUAUACAUAUAAAUGAGAAUAUAAAAUUGACAUAAUUAAUGAAGAUAGACAAGUUAGAAGAAGAAGAAGAAGACAGAUACCCAACUGCCCAUCAAGCAAGGGGUUCAAUCUAAGUCGUUCAUGUGGAAAAAAAUGCAAGAGAAUUGGCACUCCAUGCUCAGAAACAUGUAAAAUCAUAGCCAGCUAUCUAAAAAUAUCACGAUGUAUUUGCAAAUUACCUCAGCAUUCUGCAAGCUAUAUCAAAGUCUUCACAUAUUGGUCAAGAUUUGUAUUGAAGAGCUCACAUCUACAAAAGGGAUAAAAUGUAAUCAGGCAUCACACAUAUCUGUAUCUUCGAAGCGAGAACACUAUUAACACAUUGAGAGAGAGAGAGAGAGAGAGAGAGAGAGAGAAAGCAUGUUAAGACAGAUGCACAUGAAAAGUGCAACAUAUUAUUACUAUUGUUUUGUUGUCUAGUUGAAAAUUGAUUCUAAAUGAAGUUCAUAUAAUUAUAUUGAAAUGCUAUGAAGUUACAUGCACGAGCCUGGCACAACUAAUAUUGGUUAGGAGUUUGUAUGGAUAAAUUAAAGCAAUGGCCAUCCAGCUUAUGCAGUGCAUUUUUACUAGAAACUACUACUUUUCUUGGCAGGAAACAGCACAGCGAGUUGGAUGCAUAUCUGAACCGCACACCACUGUUGAACAAUGCAACAGGAAAUAGAUGGCUAAUUUAUGUGCUUGGUUGAGUCAUAGAUUAAGAGCAAUCUCUAGCAAAACAGAUCGAAACUAUAAAUGGCGAUACAAGGGGAAAAAAUAUUUAAUUUGAAUAAGCUAUUGGUUAUUUUAUUGACAAUCAAGGGGAGUCACAAUAAGGCAAGUCAU
rnacentral:lncRNA from 1 species